rnacentral:lncRNA from 1 species
UAAUUCAAAUACAACAUGGUUAACAAAAAUUAAAUAAAAAUAAGUUUAAAAAAUAAACCACUGAGAGACUGAAAAAUUGAAAUAGGAGUUGGGAGGUGUUGCAGAUCAGUCUUGCUGCCGAUCAUCGUGAUCACAAUGUUGGAGUCUGCAUGGUCUCUCAGAUCCUUCAGCCACUGGCUCACGUUUUUAAAUGUUGUUGAUUUUGUCACAUCAUAAAGACAUAAACUAAAAGAGCUCCGAGUGCACCCCUAUAAUAGGCACUGUUUAUAACUCUGUAUCGCUCCUGGCCUGCAGUACGCAUAUCUGGGCUUUUAUUGUACUUCAACCUGAAAAUCACAGAUUUCUCUCUAAUCAUACAACAAAAUGCUCUUUUAGGAAAAAAUUUCCAAUUUUGAUUGACUCUGGAGUUGCUAGAAAAAAAAUUUCUUUGGACAGAUCUUACAGCAAUUCAAUCCUUGUUACAUGAUGAAGCAAAGUUUUCAAAUAUUAUGCACUAGAUUAUUAUUUUGUUUCUUGAAUUCAAAACUCACAAAACCCUAAGACCUCUUUAAAUUUCACACACUAGUAUGAGUUGACAAUAACUUUACACCACGAACACUUGUAGGAUUGUUAUAAGUAAUUAAGACACUGUGUUCUCUUUUUUGACUGUCUCUUGUACCCCAAACAACCACAGGAUAGUAACACAAUGGCUAAAAAUUGUAAAUGUUUCAGAACAUGAGUUGCACCCAUAACAACUCAGUAAAUAAUUUUUUCACCCUGAUUAAACACAUAUACUUGUUUUUUCAGGAAAAGUAUAAGAUAUGGUAACUUGAUAAACUCAAAAAUCAUGGGUGGGAUGUAACUCUGGGGCUUUAUCUCAUGUGGGAAACAGUCAAGAGAGAGAGGUCAACUAAAACGCAAAAUGUGAAAUGAAUACUCAGCUCUAGCUCAAAGUUGACAUACUUUUCUUUCACAUCCGCCACUCAGUCUCAUCACCCUAUGUCCAAACAGGCUAAAGCUGCAAUUACUGUCAACCCCAAGUAUCAGCUUUGAUUCACGAUUUCAAGACAUGAAAUCCCAAAUCUAACUUGCCAAAACUCAACAUCAGGCUUGAACAGAUUGGUUUCGACUUGCAUAACUAACUUCAACAUAUGGAGAACAGUCUUUCUCACAUAUCCAAGAAAACAUUGAAUGCCGAUCUAAUGAAUUAAUUGCAAUUCUGAUUCCACUCUAACAUGCAAAAAGUCAACAACUCGUUAGUUUCAACUUGCAUCACGAAGACAACAACAACAACAACAUACAGAGAACAGCCCUACUCACAUAUACAAGUAAACACCAAAUGCCGAUCUAAUUAUCCAAUUCAAUGACGGAAUCUGCCGUUGCAUGAUUUUCACUUGAUGAAUAAAUUACAUCUAAAAUAUAUAAUUUAAUCCAAACUUUCAACUUGAUAUAUAGCUAUCACAAUUUGGCGCUGCCACUUCCCUUAACGCAUAAAAUUAAUCAUUUAAAUCGUGGCCCAAAAUAUUCAGAUUUAAAUUAUAAAUCAUUCUUUUUCAAAUAGCUUAAAUAGCAUUCAAGUCUAAACUCCAAAAAAAAAAAGAGUCAUUUCAUGUGAAUUACAAUCUCAUAAUGAUAGAUCCAAUUAAAUCUCGUACAAACUAAAUCAAUAACCGAAUUAUAAAUUAAAAUCAUAAAUCAAUCAUCAUACUAAUAGUAAUUAUGCAUUAACAUUGAAAACAGAUAAAAAAAUUGAACCACUUCCAGUUCAAAUGAAUCUACAAAAAUCUAUCAUAGCUAAAUGAUGCAUGUGUAUAAACAACAACUUCGAUGGAUUAAUUUAAACCAGUCAUCUAAAUAUUCGAAAUAAUUCAAAAUCAUUGCUUUAAAACUUCAAUUACUAGCGAGCAAGGCUGGGAGACGAAGGAUUGACCAAGACUGAGAGUAAGAGAGGGAGGGAGAAAUUUUAAAUUUUUAUGAUGAUUUUUGAAUUUUAAGAAUAAUAUGAAUUUAGUCUGAUAAAAUAAAUUUCUUGCGGCUAAUGAAUUAUUUAUUUUGCUUCUUAAAAGUCUAAAAAUCUAAAUGGCGAUAAAUCUAUAUAUAUGUUGCGACUAUUUUAAAAUCCCUGCAAGUCAUCCACAAUAACCAACAGCUUAAAAAAUGGGUUAAUGAAGAUGAUAAUACAGAUAAGUUAGUAAACAGAGUUAAAAUAUUAUGUUCUGUUCGGUUAACAAGAAAGUAAAGGAAAAUGUUUAACGGGAGAGAAAUCUAGAAACUGAAGAAUGAGCUGGAAACUAACUAAUUGCAAAGCAUUCUACUUGCAGGAACCUUCUACAACAUGCAAAGCAUGAGCUGGAAACUAACUAAUUGCAACAAAUUCUUGGCGGGAAUUUAAAGUUGAUCUAAUUAUAACUCAAACCUUGUAUUGCUUAGUAAACAGAAUCAAUUAAGCUGAUACACUCUGUUUGACAGUAUCCAAAGGCUACAAGCUUAACAAUCAAAAUAAUCGGAUGAACUUUGUUGAGAUUAAUCGGAUACAGACAUGAAAUUGUUAAAUAAAAGUGAGAUUAAAACCAAACCUCUUCCUUUGUGUCGAAACCGAUCGAGAUCAAAAAAUUUCAAAUGAAAGUGAAAGCUUCUUCGAUCGAAUGAGAGUCAGAGAGUGAGAGCUGAAAUUCAUGAAAUUAGGGAACAAAUCCAUCAAAUUUGGUCAGAUUAAUUGAAAAUAAACCUGAAAAUUCAUGAUGAAUAGCGAAAUUUAAACCAAACGUCUUCGUCUUCAUUGGAACUGAGAUCACAGAAUUUCAAAUGAUUGCGAGAGAGAAAGCUGAUGUGUUUUUUCCUUUUUCUUUUUUCAAACACACCCCUCCCCCACGCGGGGCGCGCGGACGAAAGUGUGGGGCCCAGAGCUAAAGAAUUUUGCUGUUUUUUUUUUUUAACUUUUUCGAAUUUCAAGUACUACGAAAUUUUAAAAUAUUAUUUAUUCUUCACCAUUUUCUUCAGUUUUAGCUUUCUAUAUAUAAUUUUAUCCCAAACAAAAAAAGCUUUCGAUAUAUAAUUGGUUAAGUUAGUUAAUAUAGUCAAAUGUUUUUGACAUUAAUAAAUGUCAUGAAUCCUGUUCCAAUUUUAUUGGCAUAAUAAACAUUUCUUUGUUAAAGUGAUAUAAAAUGAAUAUUUUUAAUGUCAGAAUUUAACUCAACCUAUUUAACUGUCCUUAAAAAUUAUCAAAUAGUAAAUGUCAAUAUUUUCUUUUGGGGAUUGUCAAUUUCCUACUAUUAAAAUUCACUUACUUCCUACUAUUUUCAUAAUAGAUAAUAAUCCUAAUAGUAAAAUUUCACAAUAUUAUUCUUAUUUUCAAAUACACUUUUAUUAAUAUUUAUUAUAAAUUAAAUAAAUCAUAUAAAUAGAAAUUUACAUAAAAUAUUAAUUAUUAAAAAUAAAAAUAUAUAUUUUAUAUGAAUAAAAUAUUAAUAAUAACAUAUUUUUCAUAUACUUUUUGUUACUUCUUAUAUUUAUGAUAAGAAAAUGUUUAUAAAACAAUACAAGAAAAAAAUUUUAUUAAUUUUUUAUUCACAUCAAACUAUAUAUUUCAUAUAUUUCAUUCUUAAUUUUUUUAUUUUAAUUUCCAUCCAUUGGUAUCCUUGGAGCUAGUGUUCACGGCACAAUGCAGCCCUUACCCUAAACACAUACAAUAAAUAUGUGUUGUUUUUUUGUGGUCUAGAGAUUUUCUUGUGACCUAAGUAAUCUACUGCUUUCCCUUUGUAGCCGAUAUCAAUUCUCUAAUUUGUCAAGAAAAUACCAAACAAUACAUAUAUUUAUGUUUUAUAAUAACAAUAAAACAAACCAUUUAAGAAUCCGAUAUGAACGUAAAAAGUUUGGAAACAUAAGUGGAAUCUAUCAGCAAAAUGUCUUGGAUGAAAUUUUAAAAUAAAGAUUAAACUUCUUCAAUUACACUGCCGGUCGUUGCUGCUGUUCUGUCGAAGAGAAGUUGUAAUAAUGAUCUUGGAAUCAAUUCAAGAUCUUGCUGAAAAGUGGCCUCAAAAUUUUGUGGUAAAGCCAAUGACAAGCGGCCAUAAGCUUUCUACCAUAUUGGUACACCACCAAUAUGAUAGCAGUGCAACUCAAUGCAAUGUAGCAAAUGAUUUCAACAGCUGACUGUUUGAAAAAUGUGGAGACCAAUGACACUACUGAAAGAGAUCCAAAGAUAAUAGCGACAAGGCCCCAUAGCUGAGAAGAAUUUGCUUGAUAGCGUUGAGAUAUGUUAUCAGCAGCAAAUGCAAUGUAGUGGACGAUUAUGGCCACCAGAGAAACAUACAAGCUUACUUUAUGAGUUUCCAUCAAUGGCUUAGUUGUGCCUUGCACAGUCGCACCCAUAACAGCGAGCAAGGUUGGGAUGAGACAUUCAAAAAAAAAUAAAAUAUUAAUUAUUAAAAAUAAAAAUAUAUAUUUUAUAUGAAUAAAAUAUUAAUAAUAACAUAUUUUUCAUAUACUUUUUGUUACUUCUUAUAUUUAUGAUAAGAAAAUGUUUAUAAAACAAUACAAGAAAAAAAUUUUAUUAAUUUUUUAUUCACAUCAAACUAUAUAUUUCAUAUAUUUCAUUCUUAAUUUUUUUAUUUUAAUUUCCAUCCAUUGGUAUCCUUGGAGCUAGUGUUCACGGCACAAUGCAGCCCUUACCCUAAACACAUACAAUAAAUAUGUGUUGUUUUUUUGUGGUCUAGAGAUUUUCUUGUGACCUAAGUAAUCUACUGCUUUCCCUUUGUAGCCGAUAUCAAUUCUCUAAUUUGUCAAGAAAAUACCAAACAAUACAUAUAUUUAUGUUUUAUAAUAACAAUAAAACAAACCAUUUAAGAAUCCGAUAUGAACGUAAAAAGUUUGGAAACAUAAGUGGAAUCUAUCAGCAAAAUGUCUUGGAUGAAAUUUUAAAAUAAAGAUUAAACUUCUUCAAUUACACUGCCGGUCGUUGCUGCUGUUCUGUCGAAGAGAAGUUGUAAUAAUGAUCUUGGAAUCAAUUCAAGAUCUUGCUGAAAAGUGGCCUCAAAAUUUUGUGGUAAAGCCAAUGACAAGCGGCCAUAAGCUUUCUACCAUAUUGGUACACCACCAAUAUGAUAGCAGUGCAACUCAAUGCAAUGUAGCAAAUGAUUUCAACAGCUGACUGUUUGAAAAAUGUGGAGACCAAUGACACUACUGAAAGAGAUCCAAAGAUAAUAGCGACAAGGCCCCAUAGCUGAGAAGAAUUUGCUUGAUAGCGUUGAGAUAUGUUAUCAGCAGCAAAUGCAAUGUAGUGGACGAUUAUGGCCACCAGAGAAACAUACAAGCUUACUUUAUGAGUUUCCAUCAAUGGCUUAGUUGUGCCUUGCACAGUCGCACCCAUAACAGCGAGCAAGGUUGGGAUGAGACAUUCAAAAAAUUUUGGGUAUGGAAUUGAGGAAAUCAAACUGUCAUCACUGUAAAACCAUCAAAAUUUAUUUAUGAACAAGUAAUGUUAUAUUUUUAAACUUGUUGCACAUGUGCCUCAAAUUUUAUUUAUGAACAAGUAUGUAAUGUUAUAUUUUUAACUUGUUACACAUGUGUCUCAGGAGUAGCUUAGCUCGAAUGGCUGUGAAUACACUUAUCAAGUACGGUUAUGUAUAUUUUAACAAAAAUACUAGGCAAAAUUUGGUGAGAUACGCUCAAAAUUUUAGAAAUAAUUGUCACUGCUUACUACCUUAACAAAUAAAUAUAAACAAGAAACAAUGCUCCCAAAUUUUAACAAUCAAGAGGAAAGCUUCCUAUAUAAGAGAAAAAGACCAAGACCAAUACGCUUAGUGGGUUUCAAAAAGUAAUGAUCUUCUAAAGUUUAACUUUCUUUUAGCUGUUAUCAAUUAUUAAUGCAUGGACAAACCUCAUACAAUAGUCUAACAUGGAACCAUCAAGUUCUAGACUUUACUCACUAGAUCAACGAAUGCUCAUAACUAAGCUUAUAGUCAAGUAAGAAAUGCCAAAAAAUAUGACAAAGUUAAUUAACCUUCAUAUGAAUAAAAGAAAGAACUGUAUGCAGUGAAAAUUUAGCUCAUAAAAACAGAAAAUGUAAGAAAUGUGUACGUAUGUACCUUGAAGGAUCAAAGUGCUGUCGAUGAAGGUGAUGAUGGCAGGGGCAGCUUAUUUGCAUCAUAUUGAUUUCGGAACGCAACCCUUCUUCUUCGGACAAAACCGACCUGCUCAGGACUAUAAGCUUCUUCUGCCAAAAAACGAUGAGCUUCUUCUUAUGAAAAAAUUUUAUUUUAUUCAUGCAUAAUGCAAAAGAAAUGCUCAUAACUAAACCUAUAGUCAAGUAAGAAAAGACGAGCUUCUUCUCCUGCCAAAAAAGAUGAGUUUCUUCUCAUAACAAAAUUAUAUUUUAUUUAUGAUGAUUUAGUAUGACUUGUCAAUUAGUUAUGAAACUCGUCAACUUUGGCAAUCUCAUACACUAAAGUGGAAAAUGAGUAAUGUUACUUUGACAAAUCACACCCUUUCGAAGCAAAAGAAAAAGAAAAGACUACCUUCAGAAAAAAUAAUCAAUUUCUUGUAAAUGAGUUUACACAUUUUAAUUUGGCCUGAUCUUAUAGCAAUUCAAUCCAUUUAACAUGAUGAAGCACAGAGUGACAUCAGUAAUUUUGUUCCUUCAAUACAAAACUCAAAAAUUUUGUAACCUCUACCAUAUCUUUUCCAACACUAAUACCUCUUUAAAUUUCACAGUCAACAUGAUUAGCUGUGAAAUAUGACGUUGAUCUUGAUGUAGGAUUAUUGUAAGUAAUUGAAAUACGACGUUGAUCUUGACGUAGGCUUCUAGCGGACUCCCGCAGUCCCGCACUAACUUAAUGCAUGCGUAGCUUUUUAAUAUAAGGGUCCGGCUAUUUUUAAACCGCUUUAAGAUAGAACACCUCUUUAUAAUCGUAAGAUCAAAAUUAUAAUAAAUUUUUUAUUAUUUAUCACUUUAUAUAUAUGGUUGAGAUUCAUCCUCCACCAUAUAUAAACUAUAACAUGGCCAUAACCUUAAUAUAAAUUCACUCGAACAGGGUUAGAUCGUAUCAUUGCAUCCCAUGACUUGACCUCAACCAGAAGUACGAUUCAUCGAAAUUAACCAAAUUCAAAGCUUUAUUUUUAUCUUUUUAAUAUCAAGUAAAAAGUUAAUUUCAAUAAAUUCUGAUCGAAAUACUCACAAUAUUAAAAAAGAAUUAAAAAAAAAGCGUAUUAAUGAUUAAAUUAAGAAAGUAUAAAUUAUGAUUACGACUUUAUACAAAUCAGCCACCACAACCGUCGAUGGAAAUCACGACAAUCGACAAAGUGUAUUAAUGAAUCACCACCACGAUUUACUCUAUUAAAGCAGACAGAGUCUCUUUUCUAUAACCAUAGCCUUUGGGCUAUUACUUCAUCAUUUUAUUUUUACUCUCACUCCAUCCGUGUUCAAGAACUGUAGUUCCACUGUUUCAGCUGCCAAGCUGCAAAUUGUAAACAUUGAAACAUCCACAUUCAAGGAAAUCAUAUAUAACAAUUACGAAAAUCAAUAAUAAUGCGUUAAUGUAUCUGAAGAUUAUUUGUCUAAAUUGUAAACAUUAACGUGCCUGGAGAUCAUUUGCGUAAUUUUCAUCUACAUAUAAAUUAUGAAAAUCAAUAAUAAUGCGUUAAGAAAUUUAUGUCAAUAAGAAUGACGUAAUUAUAAUAGAGUGAUAUAAGAUAAAAAAAAAAAAUGUGUUUGUUUGUAAAUUGUAAUGAAAUUCAUUAGUCAAUCGAUUUAUAAAAAAUAAUUCAUGUAAUCUAACCUUUUAACAGUUAAUAGAAAAGUACUAUGAUUAACAGAUUUCUAUGUAUAGAGCAUUAAAUAAUGAGACUCAUAUGGGUUCAAUUGUGUUGAAUAGCUUUUUCUUCUUUCUAAAUUCUUAAUUGAAUAAUCAAGAACGGGAUGGCGACAAAAAGAAAGGAAAACAAAAAAGAAAUAAUCAGAUUCCCACGGGCUUCAGUUUUUUCACCAAUUGCACUGAUGAUGAUAUUUUCCAUUCAUUAACGAAGGAAGGUUCGUUCCCUUAUAUUAAAGUGAAGAGGGACGCUUUACGCGCAGAAUAUACUGCCGAAUUAUUUGGCCUUUCAAUAAUGGAGAUUGCUACUUUCCUUUAACCUUUUUGGAUUUCAUCAUAUAUCACUUAUAUUUUUUAAAAUAUCCAGUCAAGGUUCAUCCGAAAAACUCCUCCAACACGACAACAAAACAACCAUUUGUUUUAAAUUAAAUUUUGAAAAGAAAGGAAAAUCUAUAUUGUGUCCCACAUAAGAUUUGAAGAGAAUCACUAUUUUCUACGACUUAUUUUCAAGCCCAUAAGUAUAUCUUUUUUUUUUAAUUUAUUGAAACUUAUUUUCAAAACAAUAACACUUGAAGUGAAUAAAUCUAUUGACACUGAUUUUCAAACGCAUAUCUUUUUUUUUUUUUUUGCACUGAGCUGCAGAUCUUUUUGCAGUACUAAUUCAUGUCAGAUGUUAAUGUCACGUAAACAGUUAAUUUUAAUAAAUUCUGAUUGAAAAACUCACAAUAUUCAAAAAGAUUAAUGAAAAAGAGUGUAUUAAUGGUUAUGUUUAGAUAAUAUAAUCUUGAUUACUACUUUAAACAAAUCAGCCUCCACAAUCCUGGACGAAAAUCACUACUUUAAAAAGUGAAUCACCACGGCUUCUCUGUUGAAAGCAGAAAAAUCUCUUUUCUAUAACUUUAGCCUUUGGGCUAUUACUUCAUAUAUAACAAUCUCAAAGACACGAAACUUGCUUGAGGCAACUGCUUCCUUAAUUGAAAUUAAUUUUUCAAGGAGACCGUUGCAUACUCAAAUUUCUCAAGUUCAGGGACCCUUUUUAUUCUUAAAAAUUCUAAUGUUUGAUUAGGGGUGUUCGCGGAUCGGAUUUUACGGAUUGGACAUCAAUCCAUAUCCAAUCCACGAUUUUACGGAUUAUAAAUUUUCAAUCCAAUCCAAUUCACAGAUUGGUAAAAUUCAAUCCAAAUCCAAUCCAUACAUCUGCGGAUCGGAUGCGGAUUUAACCCAAUCCAUAUCCAAUCCACAAUUUUGCGGAUUGGUUUGCGGACUGAAAAUUUUUAAUUAUGUCCAAUCCACAAACUAACUAAAUAAAAAAAUUUAAUAUAAAAAUAAUUUUAUUACUGAUUAAAUUUAAAAUUAAAUAAGAUUUAAAUAAAUUAACUGUUUAAAUAAAACUAGAAAAUACAUUUAAAGUUUCAAAAUACAAUACACCAAAACGAAAAAAAAAAAUCUCAUUCGUUUAGAUCAGUACAUGGAAAUUAAUUAUUUAGGAAGCUAUAUUUGUUCAUUCAAUUUUUCAUUAUUUAUAGUAUCAUCGGAUAAGAUAUAAUAUAGUUAUAGUGUUACUGUAACUAUAUUUUAACUAAUUUAUUUACUAGUAAGGCUCUGUUUGGUACAGCUUUUCAAGUAGAGCUUUUAUAAAUAGAGUUUUUACUAAAAAAAAUUUAGUUGUUUAGUUGUCAAUAAGAGCUUUUAUUAAAAUUUUAUGAAAUUACUUUAAUAGAUAAAAUUUUUAAAGUUAUGUUAUGAAAAGAAUAAAAUAAAAUUACAAAUAAGUAGAGGAUUUUUAGAUAUUUUAAUAUUAAAAAAAAAGCUUUUCAACUUCUACUCCCAAAAGCCCAAAAUUUGAGCUUUUACUAGUAGAGUCAAAAUAACUUAUUUAAGUUUCAAAAGCUCUAUUAGAAAAACAACCAAACAAUAACAAAAAUUAUGAUAAGAGCUUAUGAGAUUAAAUAAGCACUUACAUCUAUUAAAUAAGCCAUACCAAACAGACAUUAAGUAAUAAUGUCAUAUUUACAAGUUUUUUUAAUUAAAUAAAUACUUUUUAUUUUUUGCGGAUUCGCGGAUUUUUACGGAUUUACAGAAGUAGAUCCAUCUCCAAUCCAAUGAUUGCGGAUCAUCAAAUUUUUAAUCCAAUCCAAUCCACCAAUUCACGGAUCAGAUUUUUACGGAUCGAAUUUCUACGGAUCAGACGGAUUGAGCGGAUUGGAUUUUGAACACCGUAUGUUUGAUCAAGACCUAAUGCAAUUAUUAAGUAGAUAAUGAUGAUGUUGAUGAUUGUGAUGAUGAAAGGAAUGAUCAAGAAUUAUGUUAAAAUUAAGCAAUAAAGGAAAAUUAAUUUUGAUAGUAAAUUUGGUAUUAAAUCAAUUUUGAUAGUCAAUUAUGGUAACGAAACCCUGGCUUUAUUUAGUGCGCAUCGAAUGUAAAGUGUGUGGAAACUUAAAAAUAUUCCAAAUAAGAAUCCACUAGCUUGACUUUCGAUUAACAAAUACUUGGCUAACCAACAAUGAAUCCACUCCAAUAAGCCUAAGGAUAACUUGAGCUACGUUGUGAAUAUCAUGAUUGUCUCGUCAUGCCGUCGAAGCUCCACCUGACUUUGACUUGCAAUCGUACAUAAUAAGUAACAAAGACAGAUCGUGACUCAAUAGAUAUGCUACCAUUAUUACAGUUUUUAUUUUUAUUUUUAUUUUGUUCGAUGUCACUAAUCACUAUUAUAAGAAAAGAUUUAUAUAUAUUCUAUUUAUAGGGGAAACAUAUGGUGCAACUGUGGUACCGUGCCACAGUUGCAUCCAGUCGUUGGAUGUCAGUGGACCCCAUCAAUCCAAGUGCAUCCAACAGUUGGAUACAAUUGUGACACGGUACCACAGUUACACCGUAGCCUGAUCCCCAUUUAUAAUAUAUAUAUUUUUUAACUUUUCAUACACAAGUUCACAAUUAUCUAAUUCAUUUAUAAUAUUAAUCUGAAAUGUGUGGCUGUAAAAAGUUUGCAAAAGACAAGAUGAAAUUGGGUGUGGUUUAUGUAAUUUUACACAGAUAAAAUUGUUAAUCUAGAGGAGUUUUAUUAGGAAAUGAGGCGGCUGCAAAAUAGCAUCACUCUUAAAAAUAUUCAAACAUAAAAUUUUUAAAAAAAUUAUUUGUCACUUAAAAAUAAAUUCAAAUAGUAAAAAAAAAUUGCCCUAAAAAAGUAUAAAUCAUUUUAAUAGCAUAAGGAUGAAUUUUGGCCCCCUCAUGAAUUGUUAUCUUCAAAUCAUCUCCCUUACUUUUGAAAGUCUUAAAAUUACUCCUAUAUUUAGUCAAAAGAUAAGGAAAAAUAAGGGUGGGUUUAUUUAUUUAUUUAUUUUUGGCUUCUUAACAAAUAUGGAGGGUGAAUUAAGGUUCUCAAAAAUAAGGGAGCCGAUUUAAAAAUAGUCAAUUCACGGGUGAGUAAUCCAAAAUUAACCCGUAGCCUAAUAAUGAUUGAUGAUGGGAUGAAAAACUAUAUAGAUACGAGGUGAUGCUGAUCCUGGUGGGAUUUAGCUCGGCCUAAUUGUUGGCCAUGCGGUUUUACAUUUUAAACACCGCGGGUUAGGCCUAGAGAUGUUUUCAAGCUUCAGAGAUUUAGAAUUUCUAAAAGUGGACCUUCUACCCUGUUAACAUUCAAAAAGAACUAAAAAAAAAUAGAAUUUUAAUAUCAUUUGAAAUAUAUUAAUUAAAUUCUAUCGUCUGAAAUAAAUUAAUUAAAUUUUUACCCCAUUUUUUUAGAUGAAGGUGUAGCUCAAGUGAUAAGAGUCAAGUCCCUUCUUCAAAUUUCAUUAGGGAGAACGAGGUGAAAUUAAACCAACGAUCCUCUUAGAUAAAAAUAAAAAAUAAAAAAAAGGUGAGAGAUAUAUUUGAUUUUUUGAGUUUCAAGUUUGAUUUUUUGUCUUAAUGAAAAGGAAAAGAGAGGACAAUAGCUUUCAAGUUUAUCCUUAUCUAACUUGAAACCACAUGAAAAUGAGGUAAUUUCAGGUUUGUAUAAGAAAUAUGAGGAUAUAUAAGCAAAAGUGCAAAACUACACCAAAAUUGGAGUUUAGUUUUUAAAAUUACUAUAAAAUUAUAUGAUUUUGUCAAAGUGAUUUAGAAAAAAAAGAUUACAAAACACUAAAACUAGAUUUUAACUUUUAAAAAUUACUUUUAAAACUCCUAACCGCAAUACCAAAUAUGCCAUUUAUGUGAAACAAAAGAACGAUGAAGGCUGAGGGUGGCAUUUGGUAAUGUCUUUCUAAUGACGUUCCUAUAUUUGUUUUAGGAAAAAUGACAGUAAGCCCUUAAUGUUUGGGAAAAGAAACAUAAAUCCCGUUAACGUUUUAAAAAAGGCAUAUAACCCCUAUUUUUGUUAGUAAAUUCUUUUUUUUAAAAGGAGUAAAUUCUAUUUAUUUUAAUAGUAAAUUUAUUUUUAAUUUGUAAUUACUAUUAUGUCCCUGUAAUAAAUAAUUCAAUAUAUCGACUUAAGAUAUGUGAUGUGUAUAAUGAAAUCAAUAAUUUUUUAAUAUCACUAUUUACACAUAUAAUUUAUUAUUUUUAAGGCACAAACUGUCACGUCCAAUUUGAUACGGAUCCUCUCUUAAUUUAAUUUUUCCUAACAGCAGUCUUAUCCUUAUUCUUUUGACACUAUUCGAAUGUAGAAUAAUAUAUACAUGUGCGCGCGCGCGCUUGAAAAGUAAGGACGUAAGAAACUAGAACACCAAAUCAUUGUGCUAGAUUGAAGAAAAUUAUACAAAUUAAAACCACAUUUUCCAGGCCCAUUUCAACGUCACAAAACCUUUGAAACAAAAAUGAAAAGAUUCCACAAAUGAAUAUAUAUCAACUUCGUGGUAAAACUCAAUACAAGCAGGGCCGGCUCCACCGUUAGGCCGAAUAGGCACCCCAAAAAUAAGAAGGCCCAAUUUUCAUAAUUAGUUAAUCUAAUUAUAUUUCUAAUAGAAUUAAGAAGGCCCAAUUUUCACAACUAAUUAUUUAAUACAAUUAUCUUUGGCUUCCCAAACGGUAACUAAUUAUUUAAUACAAAUAGUAAUUAAAUAUUUUAAUUAUCUUUCCAAUAAAACUUUUAAUAUUCCUUUUACAAUUAAACACCUUAAAAGCAACGCCCAAAUCCUUUGCCUUUUCAAAUCUCUCUUCCUCAGCAAGAAAGUCUAGAAUAUUCAUUCUCAAUUCCAUAAUUCAAGCUUCAUCUAAUCAUCUCAUCUCCUUCCAGUGAUCAAAUUCGAAAUUAUUGGAUUCUAAUUGUUUGCUUCCAUUGAUUGAAUUCGACAUCUCAUCUACUCCAAUUUAUCAAAUUCGGCAUUCUUUGUACUUGAGAAAGAAAACCCAUUACCUAUUUGUCAGCAUCUUUUUUUCUAUGUGCACUCAUUCUAAUUAUUUCGUUUUCACUUUUCAGUAUUUGUGUUUUUUAUUAUUUGUUUAUGCUUUUGUUUGUUUGUUUGUUUUCAUAUAUAAUAUUAGUACUUUAUAGGAGAAGAUUUGUUGUUUGUUAACUUAUUUGUUUGUUUGAUUCUGUUUGUUAUUUAAAAUUGAAUAAAAUGUCUUUCUUAUGUUUGUUAAAUGAAAUGUCUUUCUUAUGUUUCAUUAAAAUAAAAUAAUGAGAUUAUUUAAUGAUUUUAAGAAUUGUUGUUUUUAAAUAGAGAAAUGCCCCAUACAAAAAUUUCGCCUAAGGCCACUAAUGUGCUAGAGCCGACCCUGAAUACAAGCAUCCAUCAACUUGGUGCCACAUUGAUACGCCACAUUGAUACAACAACAAUGAUAACAGUAGUGCAAAUCAAUAGCAGCGCAAAUCUAUGCAAUGUAUAAAUGAUUUCAGCAAUUGAAUGUGUGAAAAAUGUGGAGACUAAUGAGAUUGCAAAAAGAGAUCCAAAGAUAAUAACAAUGAGACCCCAAAAUUGCAAACAAUUUGCUUGAUUGCGAUGAGACUUGUUGUUAACUGCAAAUGCAAUGAAAUAGAAGAUUUUGGCUUGUAGAAAAACACACAAGCUUACUCUAAGAGCUCAAUCAAUGGUUUAGUUGUGCUUUACGCUAUCGCACGCACAACAACAACAAAAUGAGAUACCCAAAAACUUUUAGGUACUAAAUUGAGAAAAUGAAAUUGCCAUUAGUACAAAGCCAUCAAAAUUUAAAUAUGAAUUGGCUACAUUCUUAUAUUAUUUUCACUUGUUGCACAUGUCUCCACGGACCAAUGGUGGAACCAUGAUUUUAGUUUGAUAGGCACCAUAAUGAAGAAACUAUAAACUUGACUAUGGUAUAACGACAAAUCUGCAAAGUUGAAGUGACUAAGAGGGGGGCUAUAAAUGAUAAAGCAUAAAAAAUAGUAGGUUGUAACAAAAUUAUGUCAAAAUAAGAGGGCCAGCAUAAAAUUAAACUGAUGCAUUAAACUUCCAGUAUGCUUUUAUAUUUUUUUGGAUUAUUUCGAGGUGGCAUUGCAAGUACUGUUGAUGCGAGAUUCUGGUUGCCUUCUCUACCAAGACCAGGAUCUCUGCUCGAUCAACUCUACCACGACCAGGAUCUCUCCUUGUUAAGCUUCUCCUCCAAAAGUUCCUGCAUUCACAAAAGCAGGUCAGAGUACGCCGGUUGUUUUUCCGGCGUAAACCCUCCGACACUCAAGUCAGAUAUGAAUGUUUUUUUCGCUCUUGGGAAUACUAGCCACUAAUCUUAUGGCUUUUCAAUUCUCUCGAGCUCUCUCUUUUUUCCUCAGUUCUAAUCUCAAAAAUUCUAACCCUUUUACCUUCGUUGGCUACCUUUUUAUAGGUCUCUUCUGGAUUCAGACCUUCCCUCCAUUCAUGCUUGUUAUCCUCCCACCUCUUGAAAGUGGAUGUUCCAUUUCUGCGAUCGUGGGUGGUUGCAUGGCCUUCAUGCCUUGAUUCUCAAACUGGAGAGCACGUCUCGCCAACUGUCGUUGACCGGGUCUCCUCGACUCAACCCUUAACAGAAGUGUAGCAGGAAUGACUUUACGCUUCCAGCAGGAGAUUGGCCUCGUGGAUUGUGCACUUGUGGACGAGCAGGAUAUUUCUGCUCCUGCUCUCCCGGAUACCAUACUCUUACAAGAUAUACCUGUUCGAGGAACCCUGCUAUCAGAUGUCUGCUCAUCACUGCUGGUCUUCGUCGAAGCAUAUCCCACAAACAAGUACCUUCACUCCUGCUGUGGACGUAGCUUGGCAUGUAAGCAUAAAGAAGAAAUAUAUGCUCCCCCUUUGGCCAAAUUUCUGCAAUUAAUUUGUAAAUGACAGAGUCCACCCCCUAUCACUUAAUGCAAUAAGUGACCGUUUGUCUCAUCAAUGGAUCCACGCUUACAAUAAUUAAAUCAUUCUCAAAAUAAAUGUGAUUUUUAUCAUCUUAAUUAAAUGACAUCUCCAAUAAUUUUAUUUUUCUGUAUAUUAAAAAAUGGACUCAAAAUUUUAUGGAUGGGUCCUAAACUGAAUCGAUAUAAAUUUAUUUAAAAAAAAAAAAUUAGAUUCUACAUUGUGACCUACUACUAGAAUUUUAGUGGACUAGGUAAUAGGCACAAUUGCCUAGAGUGCUAGCAUUUUGAUUUCUGAGCCGUAAUAUCUGUCCCCUUUUAUUUAUCUCAACAGCUGUCACUUUUUAAUUUAUUUCAUCUAUUUCAAAAAGGUUACCCUCAUUAAAAAUUAAAAAAUAUAUAUUUCUCAACUUUUUCUUUUCUCUCUCAUCUGCACAAUUUCUCUCUCUCUUCUAGCAAUCACCAUUGUAUAUCUCAGCAACCAUCACUUCUUAAAUAAUUCAAUGUAUUUCUAAAAUAAUCCUGGUUAAAAAAUUAAAUUUUUUUCCCUCUCGUUUGCACUGUUAUUAUUUUUUCUUUUGUUUUUGAGUAUCCUACUUUGCUUCUUUAAUGAACGAAACAUUUUGUAAGUCAAAUUCAAGAACAAAGGAAACCAAAAAUAAAUAAAUAAAUAAAUAAAUAAAAAAUUUAGUAAAUUUUUUUUCUUAAUUUUAUUUUUUAGCUUUUAUGAGAAUGAUGAGUUUCAAGAGGUAGGAAAUAAUAGAGACCAGUGAUAUGAUAUUUUUUUUCCUAAUUCAUUCAUCACACAUCAAAAUCCAUACAAUUAAUAACAACAAAAUUCAUGACUUAUUUAUAAAAUUAGAUAAAACCCAACAACAAAAACUCAUUAUAAUCUACAAGCAAGUGGUGAUGGAUAGAUGAUGAUGAAAAUAAGCAGUGGGGAUGAUAGAGGGGAAAAUUAAAGAUAUAAGUAUUAAUUAUCCUUAUUAAAAAGUAAGGAUAAUUUUGAUAAUUACACAUAUUUUAAUUGAGGAGGGGGAUGCCGAGAUAUGUAGAGGGGGUUAAUUAUCACAACUCUUGACUUCUUUUUUUUUAAUUUAUUUUUAGACUAUAAAAUAGAUUGUAUGCAAGAUGCUGGUUUGUUUGUUUGCUUUUAUUUUUUUAUUUUUCUCGCUUUAAGUUUGUUCGACUUUUAAAUCACGUUCUUCUUGCAUAAUGGGAUUCUGAAUCCCAAAUUCAAGCGACAGCUUUGUGGGUCUCAAGUUAACUCGAUUUAUGUCUUAAAUGUAACUGGUGUGAAUAUCGAAUACAGUGCAUCAAUUGCAACAUAUACCCAUAUUGCAACAUGCAUUAACAACUAAUUUUUUUGUUGUAAAUAUAAUUUUUGUUUUGUUUUUCUUUUUUUGUAUGUCUAGUAAGACUGUGAAUAUUAUUAAUUGAAUUUAUGCAAAUUUGAUGAAAUUAUGCAAAUGCAAUGCUUUAAUUUGAGUGAAUUAUGAUAAAUUUUGGGAUUAUUAUAAAUUGAAUAAUUUCUUAAUGAGGAAGUUCUCAUUUUAUUAAUAUAAGAACAAAACUAUAAAAAAAUGAAAACACAUAUUUUAAUAUAAUAUUUUUUUCCUUUUAGCAAAUUAAAAUUCAUUUUCUGUCUCUUAAUUUGUUAAUCAUUUUAAAAAAAUAAGUUCUUCCUCACACAUGAUUAGAGGAAGACUUAUUAUAAAUUAUCUAUUAUGUAUCUAUGUCAUAUAAAUACCGCAACUUUCAUUUCAUUUCAUUCACACAUCAAAAUUUAUACGCUUUUGUAAUAUUUCAAUUUCGAAAUUGCGCAUUGUGGCAUGACAUCCUAUAAUCAAUCUACACAUCUUUAUUAAUAUUAUAAUUAACAUAAUUUUUUUUUAAUUUGAUGGGUUUUACCAAGUUAACAAAUUAAUUCUUUUUCUUCUUUUUCAAAAAAAAAUUCCUUUGUGGAAUGCAACGUCAGAAAAAAAAAAUUGCUAAAAGAGCUGUGUAAACAAAAUACCUAAGUUGACAAAAGACUUUUGUAUCAUAAAAGAUAUUAAAUGAAAUUGAAUACUGUUACAAAAACAUAAAUUGUUCAAUACCUUGACAAACCCACAAGGAAAAUACCCAUGUUAUAAAAAAAUAAAUACAAAUUCGAAAAGAAAAUCUAAAAGUCAACUUCAUUGCCUUGUAAAAGAGGAUAUGAAAAACCAGAGUAAGCUGUCACUUAGCCAGUGCACACUGCCAUAACAAAUAAUUCUGAUAUCUCAACAACAAUUAAGGAGGGUAAUUCAAUUACAACAUUGUUAACAAAAAUUAAAUAAAAAUAAGUUUAAACAAUAAACCAUCAAGAGACUGAAAAAUUAACAUAGAAGCAGGAAUACGACAAAAUGGGAACAAAUUGAGAGUAACAAGGGCCAGAGGCCAUCACCAUCGAAAGUCAGAGGUAUUUCAGAUGAGCCUCGUUGCCGAUCAUCAUGAUCACGAUGUUGGAGUCUGCAUGGUCCUCAGAUCCUUCAGCCACCGGCUCACGUUUUCAAUUGACUCUGAAGUUGCAAGAAAAAAAUAUUCUUUGUUCCCACCCCACAAGCCUGUAACUUAGUUUAGACUGUUUAAUUUGGACAGAUCUUACAGCAAUUCAAUCCAUUUCACAUGUGUUUUCAAAUAUUAUGCACUAGACCUACGAUUUUGUUCCUUGAAUUCAAAACCCACAAAGUCAUGUGCAUUUGUAGGAUUAUUAGAAGUGAUUAAGAUAUUAUGUUUUUUUUUCAAUGUCUCUUGUACCUUGGAAAACCACAGGAUAGUAACAUAACGGCUAAAACUCUUAAAUGUUUCAACACAUGAGUUGCACCCAUAACAAUUCAGUAAAUAAUUUUUUCAACCUGAUUUAACAUAUGGAGAACAGUCCUACUCACAUAUCCAAGUAAACAUCGAAUGCCGAUCUAAUUAUCUAAUUCAAUGAAAAAACCCCAUGGCUCAUAAGUUUCUCUUAAUGAAUUAAUUGCAAUUCCAAUUCAACUCUAACAUGCCAAAAGUCAACAUCAGGUUAGUUUCAGCUUGCAUUACCAACUCCAACAUACAGAGAACAGCCCUACUCACAUGUACAAGUAAACACCAAAUGCCGAUCUAAUUAUCCAAUUCAAUGUCAAAAUUCGCCGAUUUUCACUUGAUGAAUAAAUUGCAUCUAAAAUAUAUAAUUGAAAUCCCAAACUUUCACCCCAAUAUGUAGCUGUCCACAAUGGCACUGCCACUUCACUUACCACAUAAAAUUAAGCAUUUAAAUCGUGGCCCAAAAUAUUCAGAUUAAAAUUAUAAAGCAUUCUUUUUCAAAAAACUAACAAGCGUUAAACUUUAAGCUCCAAAAAAAAAAGUCAUUUCAUGUGAAUUACAAUCUCACAAUGAUAGAUACAAUUAAAUCUCAUAUAAACUAAAUCAAUAACCGAAUUAUAAGUUAAAAUCACAAAUCAAUCAUCAUACUAAUAGUAAUUACGCAUCAACAACGAAAUCAGAUGAAGGAUUGAGCAAGACUGAGAGUAAGAGAGGGAGAGGGAAACUUUAAAUUUUUUAUGAUGAUUUUUGAAUUUUAAGGACAAUAUGAAUUUCGUCCGAUAAAACUACUUGCUUUAAUUAAUUAUUUAUUUGCCUCCUAAAAGUCUCAAAAUCUAAAUGGCAAUAAAUCUAUAUAUAUGCUGCGACUAUUUUAAAAUCUGUGCAAGUCAUCCACAAAGGCCUUUUGUACUGUUUAUAGAAAUCAGGCUCUUACCUCAGUCAAUUAAUCACUUCCCAAUGAGCUGCUCUCAUCAAAUACUUUGGUUUCACUGGUUCCUGAGCAUUGAUGAAAGUUGAAGAUAAAGAAAAUUAGUUACAUUUUGAGGAGAAGAAAAAAUAAAAAAAGUAAACUUAUCAAGAAAACUUGAAUUGCAGAAUCAGAAGACUGAAUUCGCUAUGUAGUAGGGCUACUUACACUACAUUAAGCUACUGAAUCUCUAAGUUUGUUACUGAUCAUAUGUUUUCUGAUUUAGAGUGGAGAAAGGAUGGCUAGUCUGAAAACAUUGAAAUUUAUAUUUUUGGAUAAAAUGAAAUACAAAAUUUUAAGUUCUUGUGUUAAAAACAAACCACAGCAACCAACAGCUGUUGUGGUAAUCAAUACAGGACAGACUCCUGGUUUCUCAUUAAUUAAAUCUACAGCCUUCAAAAUUAGUUAACUAUUACGUGAACAGACAGUAAAGAGCAUUAUAUGUAAUUUUGUAUCUAGAAAUAUUCUUUUCAACCAGAAAAAAAAAAAAGAGAGAACUUCAAAUUCAGAAGCUGGUAUUAUAAAGAGCGACAGAUUGUUCACUUUUGUAGACACCUUUUCUUUAAUUCAACAUAGACUUUGCUUCCCUAGUUUGUUUUUUUCUUUUCCACCUUUUUAAAAGAAGUUUCCAUCCGAGUAGCUACUACAAAAAAAAUCAUCCUGUCAGACAGGUUUCUAUAACAAAUAACUUCUAAUCAAAGCAUAUUUUAUAGAAUACCUGAGAUGAGUCAGCAACUGAUGCCAAGGCAAUUAAUACACCUUCUUGCACUAUUUGUUUUCCAUUCUGCCACCAAAAAUGAAAAAUUUAGAGGAAGACAUUGUUCGUUCAUUAAAGUAUGGUGUGAUAUAAAUGUACGUAUUAUAAGUCAGGUGUUGAUUGUUCUUUCAAUAUACCUGAAGUAGCACUAGCAAUUUGCUCAUAAUACUAAGUACAAUAUAGGCACAUCUGAAAGCCACACAACAUAUAAUCUAAGAUUCCAUUGAUAGACCAGUAAUUCAGCAUACCAAAUAUGAGAGGAAAUCAAAUAACUAGGAAAGGGAGUUUUGUAAAAUUCUAAGAGCUACUAGGCCACAGAAUAGCUACACCAAUUUGCAGAGUCCAAUUAAUUCAUUUCUCACUUUUAACCCCUUGAAAGGUAAAACAUAGAAUAUUCCAUGAAAAAACCUUCAGAAAAUUCUGGAAGCCAUAGAGUAACAUUUAUGAAAUGAUCGUGCUAAAAAAAGAUUCACAUAAGUAUGUAAGAAGCCUAGAAUCCACAUAUAAAAAAAAUAAGGUAAUGAAGAUCACCAUUUACCCCAUAUACAAUGAUGAGGACAUCCAAAGAAGAUAAUAGUCUCCACAUGCCACAAGAAAAAAUUGAACAAAUUGGUUACUAAACAAAAAAAAAAAAAGGGAGAUCAAAAGGCGUCCCAACAUGACGCCUAUCCUUUCUAAUAAACUCACCUGAUUGCAAAGGCAUUGUAAUAAAAUAGAUGUGUAAUUAGUUCCAUAAGAAAAAAACUAAAUAUCCAACAUAAUCCAUACCAAAGCACAUCUCUCCUUGAGUAAUUGCUAUUGAGGCACCUCUAACCACAAAAUAUGUACUAGGAGAAAACAAAUGAGAUCCAUUGAAAAAGUACUAGGAAGGAAAUGCAUUUUUGAAAGGGGGGAAAAAAAGUGUAAUUCACAAAUGUGGUUCAUUGGACAUAUCAUGGAAGGAAAGAAAUAUUAGUUUACACUUAAAUUUAUUUAUUCUCUAAAUUCCAUGCACACAAGACAGCUGUGCCCAACACUGGGGCAUAUGAAUGGAGUUGUGCAACUUUAAUAGUUGUAUACGAAUGAGCAAGCUGGUCCAAGAUCCACUACAAUGAAUGCGGGCACUAAUUUCUUUCCUAGCUCUGACUCUAAUACCCUAGUUUAGCUUAAAGAAUGGCUUAAAAAAGAUGAUAAUACAGAUAAGUUAGUAAACAGAACCCAUCUAGUUUCAGCAAAACAUAAGCUGGCCUAAUUAUAACUCAAUUCUUGUACUGCUUAGUAAACAAAAGCCAUCUGGUUGCAGCUUAAUAGUUCCAAUACAUGCUUAAUGUGGAUUAAUACACUCUCUUCGACAGUAUCCAAAUGCCAAAAAAUUAAUAAUCAAAUAAUCAAAGCCCAAACCUAAAUUUUUUAAAUUAAGAGACAUAAAUUAGAUCCCUCACCAUAAAUUAGAGGAAAAACUCAUCAACUUUGGUGAGAUUAAACGGGUACAAACAUGAAAUUCUCGAAUAAAAGCGAGAUUGAAACCAAACCUCUUCCUUUGUAUCGAAACCGAUCGAGAUAAAAAAAUUUCAAAUGAAAGUGAAAGCUUCUUCGAUCGAAUGAGAGUGAGAGCUGACAUUCAUGAAAUUAGGGAGCAAAUCCAUCAAAUUUGGUAAAAUUAACUGAAAAUAAACUUGAAGAUGCAUCAUGAAAGGCGAGAUUUAAACCAAACCUCUUCGUCUUCAUUGAAACUGAGAUCAUGGAAUUUCAAAUGAUUGUAACGAUGCUUCUUCGAAUGACAGUAAGAGAGAGAGAGCUGAUAUGUUUUGGUUUUUUUAACCCCCAAAGUGUGGGGCCGAGAGCUACAGAAAUUUGGCUGUUCUUUUUUUUUUUUUCUUCUUUUCCCCGCGAAUUUCAAGUACUGGGGAAUUUUAAAAUAAUUUUUAUUAUUUGCUAAUUUCUUCACUUUUAGAUACAUAAUUAGUUAAGUUCGUUCAUACAGUCAAAAGUUUUUGACAUUAAUAAAACGUCAUGACACAUGUUCCAAUUUUAUUGGUGUUAUUAAAUAUUUUUUUUAAUGAGGUACGCAAUGGAUAUAUUUACUAUCACAAUUUCAGCAUUUAAGUCAAUGUAUUUAACUAUCCUGAAAAAUUAUCAAUAAUAAAUGUCAAAAAUUUUCUUUCAAAGAUUGUCAAUUUUCCUAUUACUGAAAUCUACUUACUCCCUAUUAUUUUUAUGAUAACUAAUAACUCCCAACAAUAUAAUUUUAUAAUAUUACUCUUAUUUUUAAAUACAUAUUUAUUCAUAUCUAUUAUAAAUUAAAUAAAUCAUACAAAUAGAAAUUAAAAUAAAAAAUUUAAGUAUUAAAAAUAAAUAUAUUUUUUUAUCUGCUGUACGGCCAAGUAAAUAACAAAAAUAUAAAAAAAAUAUUUUAUUAUUAAUUUUUUAUUCAAAUCAAAACAUAUAUUUCUUAUUUUUAAUACUUUUUUUUUUUUAUUUUAAUUGCCAUUCAUGGGUAUCCUUGGAGCCAUCGUUCAGGCCACAACGAGCCCUUACCCUAAACGCAUACAAUAAGUAUGUGGAGUUUUCUUGUGACCCAAGUAAUCUACUACUUUCCCUUUGCAGUUGACAUCAAGUCUCUAAUUUGUCAAGAAAAUACAAACAAUGCAUAUAUUUAUAUUUUAUUUUAUAUUUUAUAAUAACAAUAAAACAAUGCAUAUAAGAAUAUGAUAUCGAACGCACUAUUAAAAACUAUAUAUUAUUGAAUGAAAAACUAUAUAUUAUUGAGUAUAUAUUUUGAUCCAUUGAAAUCUGCAAACUUAAGUGUAAUCUCUGAGUAAAAAGUCUUGGACGAAAUUUUAAAACAAAGAUUAAGCUUCUCCAACUACACUGACGACCGUUGUUCUUGUUCCAUCGAAGAGAAGUUGUUAUGAUGAGCUUGAAACCAAUUCAAGAAUUCAAGAUGUUGCAGAAAAAUGGCCCGACCGUUGUUCUUGUUCCAUCGAAGAGAAGUUGUUAUGAUGAGCUUGAAACCAAUUCAAGAUGUUGCAGAAAAAUGGCCUCAAAAUUUCUUGGUAAAGCCAAUGACAAGUAUUCAUAAGCUUUCUGCCAUAUUGGUACACAACUAUGAUAACAGCAGUGCAACUUAAUGCAAUGUAGCAAAUGAUUUCAGCUAUUAACUGUGUGAAAAAUAUGGAGACCAACGACACUAUUGAAAGAGAUCCAAAGAUAACAGCGAUAAGGCCACAUAGUUGUGAAGAAUUUGCUUGAUAGCGUCGAGGCAUGUUGUCGGCAGCAAAUGCAAUGUAGUGGAUGAUUAUAGCUACUAAAGAAACACACAAGCUUACUCUAUGAGUUUCCGUCAACGGCUUACUUGUGCCUUGCACAUUCGCGCCCAUAACAGUGACCAAGGUCGGGAUGAGAUAUCCAAAAAUUUUUGUGGAUGAGAUUGAGGAAAUGAAAUUGUCAUCACUGCAAAACCAUCAAAUUUAAUUUUUAACAAUGAAGAGGAAAGCUUCAUAUAUAAGAGAAAAAGACCCAGACCAAUAGACAUGUUUACGAGCUUUACAAUAUAAUGAGUCAAUAUUGAAAACUUUGUAACUCUCUAAUUUGAUCAAGUUCAGCUCUGGUCAAUAAAAGUCAAAACAUUCUGGUGUAAAUAACUUGCGUUUAGUGAUUAUGUAGACUCUUUGAUAUAUUUAGUAACUGCAGAAUUUUUGUCUAGAUGACAUACGAUUCCUUUUUUAUUUAAGAUACACUCAUUUUAAGAAGAGUCGGGAUAAUUAAUUCUCCUACUUAUGUUGUGUUCUAUUGUGUGACCUUUUUGCAAUUGAUCAUUUUGCCAUUUUUAACCUUGUUUCUUUGACUUAAUCUUGAUGUUCUUGUGUUAUCUCUUGAUUAAGCAAUGUUAAUUGAUCAUCUAUCAAUCAUUCUUAGUAGUUGUAUUAUUAUUAAGUAAUAAUAUUCGUCAUGCUCUGCCAUAGCAGAGCAUUUCUCAGUUAUGGCAGAGCAUGAUAAAGGGAAUUAAGAAAAAAAUGAAUAAUUCUACAAAAUCCAAAAGAAGAGAAACUUAUAAGCUUUCUGGGUUUAUAACAGUAACGAUCUUCUAGAAUUUAACUUUCUCUAGCUAAAAAAAAAGUUUUUGCCUGCAUCAAGAUAAAUUAAUAAUGCAUGAACAAACCUCAUACACUAGUCUAACAUGGCACCAUCAAGCUCUAGCCCUUACUCUUUAGAUCACAAAAUGCUCAUAGCAAAGCUUAUAGUCAGAUAAGAAAUGCCAAAAAAGAUGACAAAAGUAAUUAAGCUUUGUAUGAAUAAAAGAAAGAACUGUAUGAUUGAAAAUUUAGCUCAUAAUAACUAAAAUUGUAAGAAAAGUGUACGUAUAUACCUUGAAGGAUCAAAGUUCUGUCGACGAAGGUGAUGGUGGCAGGGGCAGGUUGUUGGCAUCAUAUUGAUCUCGGAAUGCAACUCUUCUUCUUCUGCACAAGUUCAACUCACUCAGGAGCACAAGUUCAACUCACUCUGGAGCAGAAGUUCAACUCGUUGUUCUUAUAUGCAUCACGAUCACGGAAAGGGAAAAGUUUGGGGGGGCAAUUUUGGAAUACACAUGGGGCCCAUAAUUUCAUUGAAAAUGAAAAAGGUUGGGGGCAAUUUUGGAAUUUGAAUGGCUUCUGGCGGAUUUUUAUGGGGCCCAUAAUUUCAUUGAAAAUGAAGGAGGCCCGGGGGGCAAUUUUGGAAUUUGAUUCGGUUCUGGCGGAUUUUUAUGGGGCCCAUAAUUUCAUUGAAAAUAAAGGAGGCCCGGGGGGCAAUUUUGGAAUUUGGAUGGCUUCUGGCGGAUUUUUAUGGGGCCCAUAAUUUCAUUGAAAAUGAAGAAGGUCGGGGGGCAAUUUUGGAAUUUGAAUGGCUUCUGGCGGAUUUUUAUGGGGCUUCAUUGAAAAUGGAGGAGGCCCGGGGGGCAAUUUUGGAAUUUGAUUCCAGCGUAUUCUUAUGGGGCCCAUCAUUUCAUUGAAAUGAAAAAGGUUGGGGGGCAAUUUUGGAAUUUUGGUGGCUUCCUGCGGAAUUUUUGGGGCCCAUAAUUUGUCGAUGAAAUACCAUUUACACUAUCAGCGAUAUUAACUCGGUUACCCAGUGGAAAAGAGUUAGCACACUUUUGACGAAUCACGCCGAAGAAAGGGGAAAAAGAAAAAUAAAAAAAAUGCUACCUCACACAAAUAAUCAAUUUUUUUACUAUAUAAAAUUCUAAUUAAUUUUUUUCUUUCAAACAAUCAAUUAUGUAUGAUUAAUCAUAUUUCCUACUAUCAAAAGACAGCAAGUCGGUAAUAAAUUGCACAUAUAAGGUAUUCAAAUUUAAAAUAAUUUCCAUUGCUGAUUGAGUAGAAAAAAACAAAUUAUAUUUUAUUUAUAUCAUUCACACAUAUUCAAGCAACCACUAUUUAGCAACUCUAAAUGGGACUUACAAUAUUAUGUUAAAUGUUAUAAAAUACUUGCUUAGACAAAUUACCCUCACAGACGAGAAAUGUCUCGUCUCUACUCCACUCGUAUUUCGCAAGGGAGAAAAACUUAUAAAUAACCUCACACAAACGAGAAAUGUCUCAACUCUACUCGUAUUUCGCAAAGGAGAGAAAGACUUACAAAUAACCUCACACAAUCAUGCAUAUUACUUAAUUGAUGGAGUUUGGGUUCAUGGAAAUUCAAACCCUUACCCUCACAAUCAUACUUAACUAUAAAAGUAGAGACUCGUAGCUGGGCCAAAGGCUCAUUGACAUGUUAGGAGUUAAAGUUAACCAACUAAAAUGGAUUCCAUCCAUGGAGGCAUGAUAAAAAGAAUAAUAAUAAUAAAAUCGAAAGACAAUGAUGGACCGUUGGUUUUGUAAUUCUUUAUGGGAGCUUAGUAGCAAUGAAAGUGCAAGGAAAUUUACUUGAUUUAUGUAUUAAACUUAACAGGUGUGAAUACUGAAUAUGGUGCAUCAAGUAGAACCGUAUAUCCAUUUUAUUUUCCGUUAUUAAUAAUUAUUUUUUCUUUUUUGUAAAUAUAAUUUUUGUUUUCUUUUUUGUUUGUCUAGUAAGACGGUAAAUAACAUUAAUUGAAUUUAUGCAAAUAUGAUUGAAAUUAUGCAAAUGCGAUGCAUUAAUUUGUGCAAAUUGUGAUCAAUUGUGGGUUUACUACAAAUUGAAUAAUUUUCUAAUGAAGAAGUUGUCAUUUUAUUAAUAUAAGCACAAAUGUAGAAAAAAAAAAAAUGAAAACACAAAUUUUAAUAUAGUAUUUUUUUGUCUUUUAAUAAAUUAAAAUUCAUUUUCGGUCUUUUUAACUUGAUCGUGAUUUAAUAAGGUAUUCCUCACACCUGAGUAGAAGGAGACUUAUUAUAAAUUAUAUCUUAUAUAUCUAUUAUCAUAUAAGUACCGUUAAUUUCAUUUCAUUCACACAUCAAAAUUUAUGUGCUUUUGUAAUAUUGCAAUUUCUAAAAUGCACACUGUAGCAUGACAUCCAAUAAUCAAUCUACAUGUCUUUACUAAUAUUACAAUUAACUUAAUCUCUUUUAAUUUGAUGGGUUUUUAGCAAGUUGACAAAUUAAUUCUUUUUCUUUUUUAUCAAAAAAAAAAAUCAUUUGCGGAAACAAAUGAAAUAAUGCAACCUCAGAAAAAACUUGCCAUAAGAACUGUGUAAAACUCUGUGUGUGCGUGUGUGUAUAUAAAAGAAAAUAAAAAAAUUGAGGGGGACUUUUGUAUAAUAAAAGAUACUAGUUAUUGUUACAAAAACAUAAAUUGUUUAAGAUCUCUGCAAACACACAAGGAAAAUACCUAUUUUAUAAAAAAAUAAAUAUAAAUUAGAAAAGAGAAUAUAAAAGCCAACUUCAUUGCCUUGUAAUAGAGGAUAUGAAAAACCAGAGUAAGCUGUAACAUGGCUAGUGCGCACUGCCAUAAUAAAAUAAUUCUGAUAUCUCAACAACAAUUGAGGAGAAUAAUUCAAAUACAACAUGGUUAACAAAAAUGAAAUAAAAAUAAGUUUAAACAAUAAUCCACUGAGAGACUGAAAAAUUGACAUAGAAUUUAGGAGGUGUUUCAGAUCACUCUUGUUGCCGAUCAGCAUGAUCACGAUGUUGGAGCCUGCAUGGUCCCGAAGAUCCUUCAGCCAUCGGCUCACGUUUUCAAAUGUUGUUGAUUUUGUCACAUCAUAAACCAAAAGAGCUCCCAGUGCGCCCCUAUAAUAGGCACUGGUUAUUGCUCUGUAUCACUCCUGGCCUGCAGUAUCCCAGACCUGGGCUUUUAUUGCCUUCAACCAGAAAAUCACAGAUUUCUCCUUAGUCCUACAACAAAACGCUGCUUUAAGCAAAAAAAUGGAAAAUUUACGAAAAUAACCAUUAAUAUUUUAUUAUUUUCGCAAUUAACCGUCUCAACUUUUUUCUAUCAAUAUUAGCCAAACACAAGCCUUUCUUCCCAGACUACCCUUCUUUACAGAACAAAACCAACAUUGUUUCUCCCAUAUCGCCAAACCAAAAGCAGCUUUUCACUCUUGAAUCAUCAGCCAACGGUGACCGCAAAAGACAACGGUAAAAGUGAUAUCCGAUCAUAAUCUAUCCGGAUCCAACACAAAUCGACAUCACUUAGUGGUAUGAAUUAUUUUCUGAACUUACUGAGUCGGGUGAAUCUGAAUCUGGCGACAGGCUGCCUGUCGCAGCAAAACUUGGUGCGACAGGCAACCUGUCGUACCAAGCUUCGGGCGACAGGUUGCCUGUCGCACUCACCCCGGUGAUUCAUUAAAACUGUAUUAUUUUAAUAGGACUGAAAUAAUUUUUUUUUAUAAUUUCAAGCUUAAUGGAUUCAGUUGUUCUUGAAUUGUGUUACGAUGGUUGGUGGGAGACAUUAGAGAAUGGCCGUAUGGAGUACGUGAAUGGUAAAAAUCAAGCUUUUUUUGUUGGAAAAAAUUAUCUGUUUGAUCAGUUAUUGGCAAGAGUAUAUGAGGUGUUACAAAUAAACCCUAAUGACUAUAGUAUCACAAUGAAGACAACUUUGAGGUCUAGUAACACAUUAUAUCGUAUGUGCAAUGCCCAUGGAUAUAUGUAAUGAUGAAAUGGUGAGGGUUGUGUUGCAUAUGGCAUCUGACGUAGCUAAUUUUGGAUGCAUUCCUAUAUUCGUGACCACAUCACCUCGAGUUCCGAGCGAAGGUAUUGAGCCACAUGUCGAUACAGAAACUUCGUUUAGAGCAAAUAUGUCUGGCCCCGAUAAUGAUGAAGAGGUGUUGCCAAGGACAAUAUCGCUGCAGCAAUAUUACUCUCCAAUCCACGACAAUUAUGACAACAUUGAUGAUAAUGGCGUUACGUUACAGGAUGUUCUGCUGUACGGCCAAGGGGGAUGUACGGUACAGCAGCCAAAGUUUAAAAAAAAAAUACGUUAGAGCAACGGUAUUCUCCGUAUCACAACAAUGAUUUUCGGGACAAUGAUGAUUUUCAUAAUGAGACAGAGGGGGAUAAUGUUUGUGCAGAACCUUCUAAUAAUACGAGGCGGGGCACUCGUUUCAAUAAUGACGGUGAUGAUGGAGAAGCCGGUCCUUCGAAUGUUCGGUCAUUUCAGCAUGAGGAUGAGUGUGAAGACAAUACUCCUAUGAAUAACAGAGGCAAUAGACUUAUUCCUUCUAUGGUCCGAACCAUUGUCAUAUCACCAGCGAACCAUCGAUCAAACUCAGCAAACAGACUAGAAUCCUCCAAUCCUCUCAGUGGAUUUAUAUAUACACUCGUAUUCAUGUCAAUCGCAUGGUCCAUGAUUUGGGGUCGAGGUAUAGGCCGAGCGUUCUUUCCUCGCCUGAGUGGAGGAAUCAUGUAAGGACUGUUAUAAACAUACGACGGUAUGUACGCGCGGCCGAACUUACUAACGCCCGGAGGCACCUCAGAGAACACCUACACGCUCUCCCCACUAACAUUCCCGUAAAAAUUAUACAAUGACGUGGGCGUAGACAAAUUUUGAUUGCUCACGUCAGUAUACACUCCAUAGUCAUCCGGGGCAUGUCCAUUCGCCAAGAUGAACAUAUUAAACAACUAUUAAAUUAAAAGUUAAACGAACAUAAUUAUUAAAUUUAAUUAUGCUCACCGCAUACGAGCGUCCGGUGAGAGAAUCCUUAUUUAGAUGUGUAGAAAAGGUGUCGAUAAAGCCAAUUACGGUUUUUUAAAAUCUUUUAAUUCCGACUUCAAUUUAUACACGUUACGAUCAAUCUUAUCCAGCCGUCGUCGCACGCAAUCAUUAAACUGCUUUGUCCUCGACUAUUACAAAAGAAAAUAAUGCACGGUCUACUACGACACGUUUCGAGGCUCACUAUUGUUUAGAAUCAUGUAAAUGGCGUAUACGAGCAACUAGAAAUUCGAACGACCAAAAUGUUCCUUGGGUGAUGAAGAGAAUUGAUAAUGUACACACUUGUCAUAAUGAGGUAUUGGUUGAUGGACGUCAUCAAGUAAGGAGCCGGGUUGUCGGUCAUAUUAUCGCAGAAAAAUAUAUUCAAGAUAAGAGGAUUUAUACUCCCAAUGACAUAAGAGCAGAUAUGCAACAGGAAUACGGUGUUCAGUUAACAUACCAACAGGCAUAUAGGGCGAGAGAAGUUGGUCUUGAAAUAGUUCGCGGCAACCCUGCAGAGUCAUACAACUUGCUCCAUAAAUACUAUCACGUACUAACUACAGCGAAUGAGGGUACAGUCACUCACCUCGAGCAGGAUGGAGAUGGUAAUUUCUUGUACUAUUUUGUAGCACUCGGAUCUUCCAUCAAGGGGUUUAUGCAGUACAUUCGGCCUGUCAUUGCUGUAGAUGGUACUCAUCUGAAGGGACUAUAUCGUGGAAGCAUGUUCGUGGCAACAUGUCUUGAUGGUAACAAUCAAUUGUAUCCGUUAGCCAUUGGGAUCAUGGAUUCAGAAAACAACGAUGCUUGGGAAUGGUUUAUGAUGAAGUUACACAGAGUGAUUGGCGAUAGACCUGAAUUGGUAAUUAUCUCUGAUCGAUGCACUGCCAUAAGGAGAGCCGUUCUUAAAGUAUUUCACAAUGCAACUCAUGGCGUUUGUUUUUACCACGUCAAAGGUAACAUUAAGUCACAAUUUAGAAUGUCCAAAGCUCUUUGGGAUGAAUUUGAGCCUGCCUUUAUUAAUGCAGCAAAAAUAUAUGGCCACGAGGAAUUUAAGAGACAACUUAAAGGGUUGUGGAUGAUCCACUCGGGUGCGGCUGAUUACCUAGAAAAUAAUGUCGGUACGUGUAAUUGGGCAAGGUCGCAGUUUGAAGGUAGGAGGUACAGCAUUCUUACCACCAACAUCGCGGAGAGUGUUAAUGCUUUCAUAAGGGAACCUCGAAAAUUUCCUGUUACUCAUCUUGUUGAUCACUUUAGGAAAACAUUGCAGCAAUGGUUUUAUGAUAGAAAAAUUGUGGCUGAAUCAAUGACUACUCGGCUAACAACAUGGGCGGAUGAAAUAGUCACUGAGAGGAGAACUAUAGCUGAAAGAAUGAUAGUUCGGCCGGUGUCUCCGCAUCGCUUUCAAGUUAUAGGCGGUGGGCUUAAGGAAGGGUUGGUUGACUUGCAAAAGAGAACUUGCUCCUGCAGAGUGUUUCAGCUUGAUCAGCUUGUGUGUGCUCAUGCAAUUGCGGCGUGUCUAACACACCGGGUGGAUUUUAUUAACCUUUGCUCGGACUUUUACACUACAGAAUCGUUGGCGAUGGCUUAUGCACAACCAGUGGAGCCAGUUGGUGAUGUGGCUGAUUGGGAAGUGUCAGAUGAAAUUCAGGAGAUGGAAGUAUAUCCACCAGUUGAGGCACCACCACCUGGCCGUCGUAAAGAGCUCAGAAUACCCUCGGCUGGCGAGGAGGUUGACCGGCGGACUGUUAGAUGCGGCCGGUGUUAUAAACUAGGCCAUAAUCGUAAGUGAUGUAAGAAUCUUAUUGCGUCGACUCGAAGUUAGUUGUAUUUUGUGUGUUAUUCGUUGGUUAAAACUAUUAUUGUUUUUGUGUUUCGUUGGUUAAAACUGUUAUUAUUUUUUGUAUUUCGUUGGUUAAAACUGUUAUUAUAUUUCGUUGAUUAAAAAUGUUAUUGUUUUUUGUGUAUUAUACACUUAUAUUUCAUAAAAUUUUAUUUUAUUUUAAAGUUCAAAAUGUGAAGCAUUAAAAUUAUAUAAACUUAAGUGCGCAAAUUAAAAAAAAAAUUCAAAUUUCAACAUUAAAAUUACUACAUAGGUCUACAAAAUAAUAUCGUCAUUAAAUAUAUCAACCGCAAUCUUCUUUCUAAAGUACUUGCGCUCUUAACUGCGAUAACUUUCCACGGGUCUUCACUUCGCAACUCAGGUCGGAUAUUGUAGAAGCCAACAUAUUCCAACCAUCGAGGGAAUAUAACUUCAAGUGGCUUGAAUUUCAACUUGUACCUUUUGUCGUCGCGAAAUGUGAGUAAUGAGUCAUAAAUCCAGACUUUAUUUUUCCGAAAGUCAACUCGUGCUAGUGUCCAAUGCGCGCCGUCUAAGUUAACAGGGAUGAGUAACUGCAUAUAAAAAUUGAAAAACAUGUUUGUUAUAUAUGCAAUUAAAUACAACCAAGAAAAAGCCAACAACUCGAAUAUUUUCAUUAUAGAGCAUGUGAAAUGUAAUAAAAUACAUACCACAUCGACAUCCAUCAUUGAUUUGGACAUUGUGUGCUGUCGCCCACAAAGAUAACUAUUCAAGCGGUCGUCGAAUACUAAUGAAUCGACCGCACAAUCCCCGUUGUUCCAUAACUGAUUCAAGAAAACCUAGUACAUAGAUAACCAAGAAAUGCAUAAAUGAACAAAACUUAAAGGCAAUAAUUAAAAAUCAAAUUAAAUAGUCUUUAUAAGUUUUGUCGGCACGUUACCCAAAAAAAUGUGUCAGUAUGUGUGACACGUUGGAGUAAGGCAUUUGGAUAUUGCCGUUGUUUCUCGCUAAUCAAGCGGAGAUACUCGUGAAUAUGCUGUAGAGAAAUAGAUAUAUUACGAUUUAAAAGAAAAAUUUUGGUGAAACAAAUCCACAACAGUAUACAUAACUUCGAAAAUACCGAAUACCUCAUCGCCUAGCCAUCCCAUCGAAGCUGUACCCAAAAUUAUUUGAAAGAAUGACCGCGGGUGCUGGACUCUCCGGCGGACUCUGCUAUCACCAGUGAACCAUCGAUCAAACUCAGCAAACAGACUAGAGUCCUCCAAUCCUCUCAGUGGAUUUAUAUCCACACUCGUACUCAUGUCAAUCGCAUGCUCCAUGAUUUGGGGUCGAGGUAAAGGCCGGACGUUCUGUCCUCGCCUGACCGGAGGAAUCAUGUAAGGACUGUUAUAAACAUACGACGGUAUGUACGCACGGCCGAACUUACUAACGCCCAGAGGCACCUCAGUGAACACCUGCACGCUCUCCCCACUAACAUCCCCGUAGGAACUAUACAAUGACGUGGGCGUAGAAAAAUUUUCAUUGCCCACGUCAGUAUACACUCCAUAGUCAUCCGAGGCCUGUCCAUUCGCCAAGACGAACAUAUUAAACAACUAUCAAAUUAAAAGUUAAACAAACAUAAUUAUUAAAUUUAAAUUUGCUCACCGCAUACGAGCGUGCAGUGGGAGAAUCCUUAUUUGGACGUUUAGAAAAUAUGUCGAUGAAGCCAACAACGGUUUCUUUAAAAUCUUUUAAUUAUGACUUUAUUUCAUACACGUUACGAUCAAUCUUAUCCAGCCGUCGUUGUAUGUAAUCAUUAAACUGCUUUGUCCUCGACUAUUACAAAAGAAAAAAUUAAAACUUUAGAAUAACAAAAAAAAAUUAAUAAUUUACAAAGAAAAAAUUAAAGUAUAUUAUUUAUAACCUCAGAAUCCCGUGCGUCAUCAGAGUUGUCUGUUUGCUGCUGGUGGUCAUCAACAACCACCUCAUCCUCAGAAGUGUCAUGACGCUGCUCUGGUAUUGGGUUUGGUAUGUCGUCAUGAUCGUCAUGCUCGUCUGAUUGCCUUGUAACCGACGGCAUCGCGUUGAUUGAGGGUUGGUGCUGUAUAAAGUAUCAUUUAAAAUUAGUAAAUGAAAAGCUAAAAAUUUUGAUUACAAAAUUUUUAGUACUUAGAGUAUACCGACCUUAUGAACCCAGUCUAGAAUGCUUGGCAAGUAAUCCUUCACAGAGAGCCAAUAUUUUCUGCUACUCUCCUUUGAAUUUGGCUCAAGACUUUGUAAAACGUCCCCCUGCCAUAAAUUUAAUUGAAAAUUUUCAGUAAGUAUACAUAACUUAAAUUUAGUCAAGUUAAAAAAAUAAGUAAUACAUAUUACUUACAAGACGAGAUUCGUCGUUGAAGAAUGAAUAAACCUCCGCAAAGUUGAUUCUCGAAGACGCCAUGGGCUUCCAUUGCAGAAUGAGGGGAAUCUUAUUCUUCGUUUUGACGACCCAUGUUGAUGGCAACCCUCCGAUUGCUUCGUAAAUCCAAGCCUACAACAACCAAAGUGAAAAAUCAAAUAAAACAACUAUCAAAUAUUUAAUACUAUAAAACUUAUUAAUAAACAAAAAAAAACGCAUCUGAACCCCAGACGUAAAGCCGUAUAGAUUGUAUUUUUCAAUGUUAUGAUCUGGAUUUUUCAACCGAGUCUUCUUAAAUUUCUCGUCUUUCUCGAACAGUGCAUUGUCAAGACUCUCGUAAAUAAUUUCCCACGACAAUAGACCCCAUGGACGCUUUCGGAAGUACUGUAUAUCAUCAACUUGGUCAAGCCAAUCGAAAUUAAUUUGACAGUGAUUUUUUCUUGCAUUUAGUACUCUGUCCGCAAAAUAAAACAGCGCAAUCUUUAGUGCGUCCAUAUCGUCAAUUUCCUCGAAUUUCAACUCCUUAAAUACUACAUCGAAUUGCUUCACAUUAAUCUUACGAUGCACACCACCAAAAUACGUAUUCCGUAGCCUCUGCUCUAUUUCAUCAUUUUUUUUAUUGGUAUCAACACCAAAUGAAAGUCCAGUAACCAAGCACCAUUCGACAAUUGACAAGCGAAUCAAAUGCUUACCAAUUUGAAACCAUAACUGAUCCUCACGGCUAUCUUCUUCAUGGGCCACUUGCCGCAGUAGAAGAUUGUGUAAAAUUACCCCACUGAAUGGAAAACUUCGACACUCCAAGAAAUGGCCAAAUAUAUCCUUUUUGAACAUACGCAACUGCAGGUUUGUUAAUUUUUCCUCAAUGGCUUUAACGACCGAAGAUAACAUACACAUGCUCAAAACUCGACCAGGAAAGUGAUCAUCAUAACGAAAAUACAUCUUGCCUACUUCAAUAUCCGGUGAAAAUUCGAUCAGGAAAGUGAUCGGCAUAACGAAAAUACAUCUUGCCUACUUCGAUAUCCGCUGAUUCUGAUUUCGCCAUGUAUCUAUAAUAUUUAUAAAAUUAUUACAUUACAUUUACAAAAAAAAAAAAAUUAACUCGUUACAAAAAAAAAAUCUAAUUUUUGGUGCGAGAGGCUUGCUGUCGCACCAGAUCUGGUGCGAUAGCGUGCCGCGCAUGGGCGCGCGCUGCUGCCCAGCGAUGGGCGCGCACGCGCACCCUGCCCCCCUCCCUCCCCACCCCCAAAAUUAAGCGCAAUCACUCCAAAAUCGAAAACAAUACUCCCAAACACCACCAACCACCACAAACAUCAUCACCACCACUAUUAAUCUCAAGCUAUAACUAUUAUUAUUCUAAAAUCUCAUUUUAAAUUAAUGAAAAUAAGAAAAAUGACUAACCUAGGUUUUGUUGAAGGUUGUAGAUCGUAGAUCGGAUGCCGGUGAGAGAUGGAGCCGCCGCCGAAGAAGGUUGAUGUCGCCGCCGAUGAUGGGAGUUGGAUCGGUUUGGGAGAGAUGAGUGAAAGGGAGUGUUGGGGGAGAGAUGAGGGAGGGGUAUUUUGGUCUCAAAGGUUGUUUUAUGGCUAAUGUUGAUAUAAAUAUUUUUGGGGGGUUAAGAUGAAAAAAAGCAAAACUUUUUUGGUUAUUAUUGUAAAUUUCCCCAAAAAAAUUCCAUUUUUAAUUGACUCUGGAGUUGCUAGAAAAAAAAUUUCUUUGUUCCCACAAGCCGGUAAAAGAGUUAAGACAAUUUAAUUUGGACAGACCUUACAGCAAUUUAAUUCAUUUUACAAGAUGAAGCAGGGUUUGCAAAAUAUUAUGCACUAGACUUAUUAUUUUGUUCCUUGAAUUCAAAACUCACAAAACCCUAAGACCUCUUUAAAUUUCACACGCUAGUGUGAGUUGACAAUAACUUUACACCAUGUGCACUUGUAGGAUUAUUAUAACUAAUUAAGAUACUAUGUUUUUUUUUACUGUCUCUUGUACCUUAAACAACCACGGGAAAAUCUUAAAUGUUUCAAAACAUGAGUUGCACCCAUAAAAACUCCGUAAAUAAUUUUUUCAACCUUGUUUUAACACUUAUAUUUGUUUUUCAGGAAAAGUAUAAGAUAUGGUAACUCGAUAAACUCAAAUAUCAUGGGUGAAAUGUAACUCUGGGGCUUUGUCUUCACUAGGAACCAGUCAAGACAUAGAGGUCAACCAAAACCCAAACACGUGGAAUGAAUACUCAGCUCUAGCUCAAAGUUGACAUCCUUUUCUUUUACGUACACCACUCAGUCUCAUCACCCUAUGUCCAAACAGGCUAAAGCUGCAAUUACUGUCAACCCCAAGUAUCAGCUUUGAUUCACGAUUUCAAGACAUGAAAUCCCAACUCUAACUUGCGAAAACUCAACAUCAGGCUUGAACAGAAUGGUUUUGACUUGCAUAACUAACUUCAAUAUAUGGAGAACAGUCCUACUCACAUAUCCAAGAAAACAUCGAAUGCCGGUGUAGUUAUCUUAUUCAAUGAAAAAGUCAACAUCAGGUUAGUUUCAACUUGCACACCAACUUCAAAAUACAGAGAGCAGCCCUACUCACAUAUACAAGUAAAAACCAAAUGCCGAUCUAAUUAUCCAAUUCAAUGACGAAAUCUGGCGGUGCAUGAUUUUCACUUGAUGAAUAAAUUACAUCUAGAAUAUAUAAUUUACUCCAAACUUUCAACCCAAUAUGUAGCUAUCACAAUUUGGCGCUGCCACUUCACUUAACACAUAAAAUUAAGCAUUUAAAUCGUGGCCCAAAAUAUUCAGAUUUAAAUUAUAAAUCAUUCUUUUUCAAAAAACUUAAAUAGCAUUCAAGUAUAAAUUCCAAAAAAAAGGGUCAUCUCAUGUGAAUUACAAUCUCAUAAUGAUAGAUCCAAUUAAAUCUCGUACAAACUAAAUCAAUAACCGAAUUAUAAGUUAAAAUCACAAAUCGAUCAACAUACUAAUAGUAAUUACGCAUCAAGAAUGAAAACAGAAAAAAAAAAUUGAAUCACUUCCAGUUUAAAUGAAUCUACAAAAAUCUGUCAUAACUAGAUGGUGCAUGUGUAUAAACAACAACUUCGAUGGAUUAAUUUAAACCAGUCAUCUAAAUAUUUGAAAUAAUUCAAAAUCAUUGCUUUAAAACUUGAAUUACUAGCGAGCAAGGCUGGGAGGAUUGAGCAAGACUGAGAGAGUAAGAGAGGGAGAGAGAAAUUGUAAAUUUUUUAUGACGAUUUAGUCAGAUAAAACAACUUUCUUGCGGCUAAUUAAUUAAUUAUUUGCUUCUUAAAAUUCUAAAAAUCUAAAUGGCGAUAAAUCUAUAUAUAUGUUGUGACUAUAAGGAGAAGCUGGUAUUAUAAGGAGUGACAGAUUGUUCACUUUUGGACAUACCUUUUCUUUUUAUUCAACGUAUACUUUGCUUCCCCUUUUUUCAAAAAAAAAAAAAAAAAAAGAGAAGUUUGCAUCUGAGGAACUACUACAAAAAAAUCAUCCUGUCAGAAGGUUUUUCUAACAAAUAACUUCGAAUCAAAGCAUAUUUUUUAGAAUACCAAUGCAAUUAAUACAUCUUCUUGCACCAUUUGUUUUCCAUUCUGGGACCAAAUAUGCAGAAUUUAGAGGAAGAAAAUGUUCGUUCAAUUAAAGGAUAGUGUGAUAUAAAUGUAUGUAUUAUAAACUGGGUGUUGAUUGUUCUGGCAACAUACCUGAGGUAGUCCUAAUUUGCUUGCAAUAAUGAACGCAGGUACUAAUUUCUUUCCUAGCUCUGUUUCUAAUACCCUAAUAUAGCUUAAAGAAUGGAUUAAUAAAGAUGAUAACACAGAAAAGCUAGUAAACAGAGUUAAAAUAUUAUGUUCUAUCCAAGAAAACAUUGAAUGCCGAUCUAAUUAUCUAAUUCAAUGAAAAAACCUGGUGGGUCGUAAGUUUCUCUUAAUGAAUUAAUUGCAAUUUGGAUUCAACUCUAACAAGCAAAAAGUCAACAUCAGGUUAGUUUCAACUUGCAUCACCAAGACACCAACUUCAACAUACAGAGAACAGCCCUACUCACAUUUACAAGUAAACACCAAAUGCCGAUCUAAGUAUCCAAUUCAAUGACGGAAUCCGCUGGUGCAUGAUUUUCACUUGAUGAAUAAAUUACAUCUAGAAUAUAUAAUUUACUCCAAACUUUCAACCCAAUAUGUAGCUAUCACAAUUUGGCGCUGCCACUUCACUUAACACAUAAAAUUAAGCAUUUAAAUCGUGGCCCAAAAUAUUCAGAUUUAAAUUAUAAAUCAUUCUUUUUCAAAAAACUUAAAUAGCAUUCAAGUAUAAAUUCCAAAAAAAAGGGUCAUCUCAUGUGAAUUACAAUCUCAUAAUGAUAGAUCCAAUUAAAUCUCGUACAAACUAAAUCAAUAACCGAAUUAUAAGUUAAAAUCACAAAUCGAUCAACAUACUAAUAGUAAUUACGCAUCAAGAAUGAAAACAGAAAAAAAAAAUUGAAUCACUUCCAGUUUAAAUGAAUCUACAAAAAUCUGUCAUAACUAGAUGGUGCAUGUGUAUAAACAACAACUUCGAUGGAUUAAUUUAAACCAGUCAUCUAAAUAUUUGAAAUAAUUCAAAAUCAUUGCUUUAAAACUUGAAUUACUAGCGAGCAAGGCUGGGAGGAUUGAGCAAGACUGAGAGAGUAAGAGAGGGAGAGAGAAAUUGUAAAUUUUUUAUGACGAUUUAGUCAGAUAAAACAACUUUCUUGCGGCUAAUUAAUUAAUUAUUUGCUUCUUAAAAUUCUAAAAAUCUAAAUGGCGAUAAAUCUAUAUAUAUGUUGUGACUAUAAGGAGAAGCUGGUAUUAUAAGGAGUGACAGAUUGUUCACUUUUGGACAUACCUUUUCUUUUUAUUCAACGUAUACUUUGCUUCCCCUUUUUUCAAAAAAAAAAAAAAAAAAGAGAAGUUUGCAUCUGAGGAACUACUACAAAAAAAUCAUCCUGUCAGAAGGUUUUUCUAACAAAUAACUUCGAAUCAAAGCAUAUUUUUUAGAAUACCAAUGCAAUUAAUACAUCUUCUUGCACCAUUUGUUUUCCAUUCUGGGACCAAAUAUGCAGAAUUUAGAGGAAGAAAAUGUUCGUUCAAUUAAAGGAUAGUGUGAUAUAAAUGUAUGUAUUAUAAACUGGGUGUUGAUUGUUCUGGCAACAUACCUGAGGUAGUCCUAAUUUGCUUGCAAUAAUGAACGCAGGUACUAAUUUCUUUCCUAGCUCUGUUUCUAAUACCCUAAUAUAGCUUAAAGAAUGGAUUAAUAAAGAUGAUAACACAGAAAAGCUAGUAAACAGAGUUAAAAUAUUAUGUUCUGUUUGGUUAACAACAAAGUAAAGGAAAAUGUUUAACGGGAGAGAAAUCUAGAAACUGAAGAAUGAUUCGUAUUAAACUUUUAUUUGAUUAGCAAAGUUUAAGACAGUAACUCUUAAUGAUUUAUUGUCUUUAUUUCAUCUUUGCUAUGAUUCCUCUCAAAUAGAUGGGGACAGAGAAAUUUAAUUUCUGCUUAUUGUUUUAAAGAAAAUGAAUCUGUUAGAUUUUAUCAAUAACAAAUUAUUAUUAUUAACAAUAUUAUUUCGAGUUUAAUUUACUUAUUUGAUUUUCUUCUUGAUGAAGAACUUGAUUUUUCAACAUCUCUAUUUGGACAUAUACUCUCUUUGAUUUCUUCAUGAUUAAGAAUUUACUUUUUUAACAUCGCUAUUUACACAUAAUUUAUUACUUUUAAGGGACAAACUGUCAUGUCCAAUUAUUUAUGAAUUCUCUCCUAAUUUAAUUUUUUCAAACAGCACUCUUAUCCUUAUUCUUUUGACACUAUUCCAACAUAGAAUAAUAUUUUUUCUUACAUAGUGGCCUUAAAAUUAAAAUUAAAAUUUACAAGACUGAUCCAAAACGCCAUUUCUAUGAAAAAUAAAUGUGGUUGAAAAGUAAGGGCAUAAGAAACUACAUCGCCAAAUCAUUAUGCUAGAUUGAAGAAAAUUAUUCAUAAUUAAAACCACAUUUUGCAGGCCCGUUUCAACGUCACAGAACCUUUGAAAUAAAAAUGAAAAGAUUCCGCAAAUGAAUCCAAAUCACUGCUAUUAAUUUAGAUUGGAACAUUUAUAUCUAUCUAACUAUAUAUAUAUAUAUAUAUAUAUAUAUAUAUAUUGUAUGUAUAUCAUGUCUUAAACUGUCGGUCAUUGCUGCAGCUUUGUCGAAGAGAUAUUAUUAUUAGGUUGAAUCCAAUUUGAGAUUUUGCUAAAAAGAAAAUGGCCUCCAAUUUUUCAUGGUAAACCCAACGACAAGCAUCUAUCAACAUGGUGCCACACUUACACACAACAAUGAUAAGAGCAGCGCAAAUCAAUAGCAGUGCAAAUCUAUGCAAUGUAUAAAUGAUUUCAGCAAUUGAAUGUGUGAAAAAUGUGGAGACCAAUGCGAUUGCAGAAAGAGAUCCAGAGAAAACAGCAAUAACGUCCCAAAAUUGCGAAGAAAUUGCUUGAUUACGUUGAGACUUGUUUGUCAGCUGCUAAUGCAAUGUAGUAGAAGAUUUUGGCUAGUAGAAAAAUACACAACCUUACUCUAUGAGCUCAAUCAACGGCUUCGUUGUGCCUUACACUAUCAUACCCACAAUAGCAGCAACAUGAGAUAUCCAGAGAUUUUUUAGUACAAAACUGAGAAAAUGAAAUUGUCAUUAGUACAAAGCCAUCAAAUUUUACAUAUGAAAAGGCUAGCAUUCUUAUAUUAUUUUCACUUGUUGUACAUGUACCCCGGACCAAUGGUGGAACCAUGAUUUUAGUUUGAUGGGGACCAUAAUGAAGAAACCACAAACUUGACUAGAUAUAACAAGAAAUCUGUAAAGUUGAAGUGUCCGAAAGAGGGGGCUAUAAUUGAUAAACCAUAAAAUGUUAUAUAUUGUUACACAAUUAUAUUAAAGUAAGAGGGCCGACAUAAAAUUUAAAUGAUACAUUAAACUUCCCAUAUACUUUUUUACUUUUUUGGAUUAUUUCGAGGCGGCAAGGCAAGUACCGCCACUCCUGCUCUAGACGUAGCUUCGCAUGCAAGUACUGUAUAAGCAAGAAACGUUUGCUCCCCCAUUGACCAAAUUUCUGCAAUUAAUUUGUAAAUGACAGAUUAACGUUUGCCACCCACUAUCGCUUUAUGCAAUGACAGAAUCGUUUGCCCGAUCAACGGAUCCGCGCUGACACGAAUUAUAAAUCAGUCAUUCUCAAAAUCAAUUUCUUUAUUUCGUAUAACCUGUUUUGAUCUCUUUCCAAAUUAACCUUAUCCAGCAUGUUUUCUGUAAUUAUUAGAAUCCACUAAAAUUUUAUUAGUAAUUCUAAUGAAAAUUUAAUUUCCCCUACCUAUGUAAGCUACAUUCAAAUCCUAAACUUCUUAUUUUCAAUAUAAUUCUAUUUUUUUAAUACUAAAAAUGGCCUCAAAAUUUUAUUUGUGAGUCCUAUAUUGAGCCAACUUAAUUUUUUUUUUUAAAAAAAUUAAAUUUCACAUUAUGACCUACGGUUUUAUCAUAUGACAUAAGAAAUUCUUGAAUACAUCAGAACUAUCAUGUCAGUCAUAUAACAAAUAAAUCAUACUAUGACAUGUGUGCAUUUAUUUUAAAAAAUUAUCAUGUAAGCGGUGGUUACAUUAAAUCAAAAUACACAUAUCAUACAUACAUUAGUUGGUUGAAUUACAUUUGAUGUAUUCUAAAAUUUCUUCAUACGAAGAAAUCUUAGUGGGAUAGGCAAUGAACCUAUUUGCCUAUAGUAGUAGCAUUUGACUUCUUUCAAGUACAAGUAUGCAAUAGAUCUAAGUUAGGUCAUGUUUGAGAUUGAGUUUGGAAAAUAUUAGAGUAUUUAGUAAACACUAGUUGUUAUAACUUAUAAGUAAAGUUAAUUUAAUUUUACACUUGUAUGAUAAAAAAUUUAUUAUAUCUUUACUAAUUUUGUAAAAAUUAUUAUUUAAAAAUUAUAUUUAUUACAUAUUAUUAAUAUUUAUUUCAUAAUUAUUACUUUUUUCUACAGGAGCAGUACCUCAAUAACAACCUAGGAGUCAAAGAUAAUUGACGACUCGAUCCAUUGGUGAGAAAGACAAUGAUGGACCCUUUUUUUGUAAUUCUUGAUGGGAGAUUAGUAGCAAUGAAAAUGUAAGGAAAAUGAAAUUUAGUCAAGAUGAAUUUUCAGUUUAUUAUAAAUUGAAUAAUUUUUUAAUGAGGAAGUUCUCAUUUUAUUAAUAUAAGAACAAAAUUUAAAAAAAAAUAUAUGAAAAUGCAUAUUUUAAUAUAAUUUUUUUUGUCUUUUAGCAAAUUAGGAUUCAUUUUCUUUCUUUUAAUUUGCUCAUUGUUUUAAAAGAAUAAAGUCUUCCUCACACCUGAUUAGAGGAAGACUUAUCAUAAAUUAUCUCUAAUAUAUCUCUAAGUACCGCCAAUAUCAUUUCAUUCACACAUCAAAAUUUAUGUUCUUUUGUAAUAUUUCAAUUUCUAAAUUGCGCACUAUAGCAUGGCAUCCAAUAAGCAAUCUACAUAUCUUUAUUAAUAUUACAAUUAACAUAAUUUCUUUUAAUUUGAUGGGUUUUUAGGAAGUUAACAAAUUAAUUCUUUUUUUUUUUAAAAAAAUCAUUUGUCGAAACAAAUGAAAUAAUAUAACCUUAGAAAAAACUUGCUAAAAGAACUGUGUAAAACUCGGUGUGUAUAUACAUAUAAAAUGUAAAAAAUUGAGGGAGACAUUUGUAUAGUAAAAGAUACUAGCUAUUGUUACAAAAACAUAAAACUGUUCAAGAUCUCUGCAAACACACAAGGAAAAUACCUAUUUUAUAAAAAAAAAAAAAUACAAAUUAGAAAAGAAAAUGUAAAAGCCAACUUCAUUGCCUUGUAAUAGAGGAUAUGAAAAAAACAGAGUAAGCUGGAACAUGGCUAGUGCACACUGCCAAAACAAAAUAAUUCUGAUAUCUCAACAACAAUUGAGGAGAAUAAUUCAAAUACAACAUGGUUAACAAAAAUUAAAUAAAAAUAAGUUUAAACAAUAAACCACUGAGAGACUGAAAAAUUGACAUAGAAGUUGGGAGGUGUUUCAGAUCAGUCUUGUUGCCUAUCAUCAUGAUCACAAUGUUGGAGUCUGCAUGGUCUCUCAGAUCCUUCAGCCACCGGCUCACGUUUUCAAAUGUUGUUGAUUUUGUCACAUCAUAAACUAAAAGAGCUCCGAGUGCACCCGUAUUAUAAUAGGCACUGUUUAUAACUCUGUAUCACUCCUGACCUGCAGUAUGCAUAUCUGGGCUUUUAUUGUCCUUCAACAUGAAAAUCACAGAUUUCCCUUUAAUCAUACAACAAAAUGCUCUUUUAGGACAAAAUUUCCAAUUUUAAUUGACUCUGGAGUUUCUAGAAAAAAAAUUUCUUUGUUCCCCCACGCCUGUAAAUGAGUUUAGACAGUUUAAUUUGGACGGAUCUUACAGCAAUUCAAUCCAUGAUACAUGAUGAAGCAAAGUUUUCAAAUAUUAUGCACUAGAUUAUUAUUUGGUUUCUUGAAUUCAAAACUCACAAAACCCUAAGACCUCUUUAAAUUUCACACACUAGUAUGAGUUGACAAUAACUUUACACCAUGUGCACUUCUAGGAUUAUUAUAAGUGAUUAAGAUACUAUGUUUUUUUUACUGUCUCUUCUACCAUAAACAAACUACAGGAUAGUAACACAAUGGCUAAAAAUCUUAAAUGUUUCAAAACAUGAGUUGCACGCAUAACAACUCAGUAAAUAAUUUUUUCACCCUGAUUUAACACAUAUACUUGUUUUUCAGGAAAAGUAUAAGAUAUGGUAACUUGAUGUAAGUCGGGGGCUUUAUCUCAUGUGGGAAACAGUCAAGACAUAGAGGUUAACUACAACCCAAAAUGUGGAAUGGAUACUCAGCUCUAGCUCAAAGUUGACAUCCUUUUCUUUCACAUCCGCCACUCAGUCCCAUCACCCUAUGUCCAAACAGGCUAAAGCUGCAAUUACUUUCAACCCCAAUUCUCAGCUUUGAUUCAAGAUUUCAAGAAAGGAAAUCCCAACUCUAACUUGCCAAAACUCAACAUCAGGCUUGAACAGAUUCGUUUCGACUUGCAUAACUAACUUCAACAUAUGGAGAACAGUCUUACUCACAUUUCCAAGAAAACAUUGAAUGCCGAUCUAAUUAUCUAAUUAAAUGAAAAAAUUCGGUGGGUCGUAAGUUUCUCUUAAUGAAUUAAUUGCAAUUCUGAUUCCACUCUAACAUGCAAAAUGUCAACAACAUGUUAGUUUGGACUUGCAUAACGAAGACAACAACUUCAACAUACAGAGAACAGCCCUACUCACAUAUACAAAGUAAACACCAAAUCUGCCGGUGCAUGAUUUUCACUUGAUGAAUAAAUUACAACUUAAAUUUAUAAUUUAAUCCAAACUCUCACCCCAAUACUUAGCUACCACAAUUAGGUGCUGCCACUUCACUUAACACAUAAAAUUAACGGUUUAAAUCGUGGCCCAAAAUAUUCAGACUUGAAUUAUAAAUCAUUCUUUUUCAAAAAACUUAAAUAGCAUUCAAAUCUAAAUUCCCCCCCCCCCCCCCNNNNNNNNNNNNNNNNNNNNNNNNNNNNNNNNNNNNNNNNNNNNNNNNNNNNNNNNNNNNNNNNNNNNNNNNNNNNNNNNNNNNNNNNNNAAUCAUCAUACUAAUAGUAAUUAAACAUCAAUAAUGAAAACAGAUAAAAAAUUGAAUCACUUCCGCUUCAUAUGAAUCUACAAAAAUCUAUAAUAACUAGAUGGUGCAUGUGCAUAAACAACAACUUUGAUGGAUUAAUUUAAAACAGUCAUCCAAAUUUGCUGGGAGGCAAAGGAUUGAGCAAGACUGAGAGUAAGAGCGGGAGAAAGAAAUUUUAAAUUUUUUAUGACGAUUUUUGAAUUUCAAGAAUAAUAUGAAUUUAGUCAGAUAAAGCAAUUUUCUUGCGGCUAAUUAAUAUUUAUUUGAUUCUUAAAAGUCUGAAAAUCUAAAUGGCGAUAAAUCUAUAUAUUUGUUGUGACUAUUUUAAAAUCCCGGCCAAGUCAUCCGCAAUAACCAACAGCUGUUGUGGUAAUCAAUACAGGGACGGACUCCUUCUUUUUGCCUAUUAAUUAAAUCUUCAGCAUUAGUUAAAUAUUAGGUGAAUAGACAGGCAAGAGCAUUAUAUGUAUCUAGAAAUAUUAUUUUCACCAAAAAUUAAAAAAAAAAAUUCAAAUGCAGAAGCUGAUAUUAUAAGGAGUGACAGAGUGUUCACUUUUGUACAUACCUUUUCUUUUAAUUUAACAUAUACUUUGCUUCCUCCUUUUUUUCCCGAGAAAAAAGAAGAAGGAAGUUUGCAUCUGAGCAGCUACUACAAAAAAAUCACCCUGUCAGACGGGUUUCUCUAACAAAUAACUUCUAAUCAAAGCAUAUUUUAUAGAAUACCAAUGCAAUUAAUACACCUUCUUGCACUAUUUGUUUUCCAUUCUGGGACCAAAUAUGCGAAAUGUAGAAGAAGAAAAUGUUCGUUCAUUAAAGUAUAGUGUGAUAUAAAUGUAUGUACUAUAAAUUGGGUGUUGAUUAUUCUGUCAACAUACCUGAAAUGUUACUAAUUUGCUUGCAAUAAUGAAUGCAUGUACUGAUUUCUUUCCUAGCUCUGUUUCUAAUACCCUAAUACAGCUUAAAGAAUUAAUAAAGAUGAUAAUGUUAGGGAAAAAUCAGGUUUUUAAAUUUUUAUAAAACCUUUUGAAGAUCGCUCUCAUAUAAUAUAUAAGAAUUUGUAUUCUAGAAAUCGUACCUUGAAAAUCCGAGUUGGCUUUUUCCGCUGAAGUGAUUUAGGCUCCUAGAUCACGAUCCGCCACC